rnacentral:lncRNA from 1 species
AGUGAUGAACCAGGAUAUCUUUAAGAGUGGUAGUCACAUCUUCCCACAUCUGACAGGUAAUUCCAUUAUACCUGUAAAAGUUCAGAUUGCUCAACUCAACAUAAAGCAAGACUAUCACUUGAUGAAAAGGGAGGAAGAUCAUGUAUAUAAACUGCAAACUAGCCAAGUCCUUUCAAGUUAAAGAUUCCCGUACAGAGUUCUUCUGGAUGUGUUCCCUCCCAUAAGAAAGAAAAGAUUACUAAGAAUUUCCUUUUCUUACAUUUUCUUUCUUUCAUUCUCUCUCUUCUUUUUCUUCCUUUCCCAUGCUACUACCUUCUCCACCAGCACCACCACCUUCCCUAUUAAUGCUAACCUUCUGUUAGUGCCACCAAUUUCAAACCCUAUUUAUGAUCAAAACUAAACCAAUGAAGCAACCAUUUUUAGUUUGGGAACGGAGGAGAGGAACUGACUGGCGACCUACAUGGAAUGGAGGAAAGAAAUUGCUGGUUAAUUGUCAGAUUUCAUUCAAGUAUGUGGGGUUAUUUUUCAUUGGGAGUUCAUGAAAUUAUUGUAUUUGCUGGCUUGGAAGUUUUCUAGUAAAACAAGUUGGAAAAGUCUGUUGUUCAUCCAAUUUUAUUCAAGUUUUUCAUCCUUCUUAUUGCUUGCGACUCUCUGUACAACUGAGCUUUGAGGUUAUUUUUUCUUUUCUAGGUUAAGUAUCAAAGAUUUUGUUGGUUCUACUCCCAAGUUUGUUUAUUUCGCUUAACCAAUUAUUUAAAUGAUUGUUUCUGUUAUCUACACAUGCUACUGAUAGGUAUUUCAGUGGUGAAGUGGUGGUUAGGGUGGUAGAGGGUUGGAGGAAGAAAAUGUAGGAAAGAAAGAAAGAACUGAAAAAAAGGGAGAAGAAGACAGAUAGAAGGGCAUAAGGUGAAUAACGAGCCACAGAGAGAGGCUGCUAACAACGGAAGAAAGAGAGAGGUUGCUGACAGCAGAAGUAAGAAAGGGAAAAAAAAGAAAAAGAGAGAAAGAUAUAAACUAAUAAAAACAUCAAUAGAGGAAAAAUGGAAAUAGAAGGUUAUGAAGUUGGCAUGUGGAAAGCAAGGAUUGGCAUGGAAAUCACUUGCUUUCUUAAUACUGGGAUUGACCCAAAAAUAGGGUAAUAUACCAGUUCGAAGCUGUUCCGGGGGCCAUAGCUCCCCACAAAGUCGUGUCUUUUUGGACAUCAGGGAUUAGCUUAGGAAAGCUCUGUGUAUUUUUCCCAAAAAAAAAAAGGUGAGAGAGAAGGAGAACGAAGCAAACAAUAGACAAGAAGGAAAAGAAAGGAAAAGGGGAUGAAAAUUGAAAACAACAAGGCAGAAGCUAGAGUACAUUUUUCAAAGCUGCUGUCGGGUUUGACUUAAUGGCUGAUCUUUUUAAAGAAGUAUAAAGUGGUCCAAGGUUAGUGCAAACCAAGAAAAUACACUGAUUGAAUCAACUUUGUUAGAGCAAGUGUAUUUUCUUAUUUGGGCCACAAAUCAAUUUAUUUUUGCAACAAACAAGGUUUAUCUUUUAGUUAUUAACAAAGCAAAGAAAAAUUCAAUAAAUUGGACUAACCUUGACCACUUAACACAACUUAAAAGAAACAAGUUUAUAUUGAAAACACUUGGAAGUAAUUAAAUAGAUAGAUACUAGCCACAUUGUUAACCAGCUAAAAAUAUUUAACUAAUUCUAAGUAGGUAUAUGUAUUUAACAUUCAUUUGCAGCACACUUUCCUUUUAUCCAUAUUCUUUUUCUCCACAACAUAUUGAUAUCUCCAAAUCAGAAAAUUUAAAAGAUACCGAAUCCGACCUCUAGAACCAUAGCCAUAUCAAAUACUUGCACCUGUGUCCAUGGCCCCAUGCAAUAUAGGUUUCAUGAAUUCAUUCGCUGUGAUCCUUGUAGAAUGCAUGCUGUCAUUUACUUUUUUGCUUAAGCUUUUGUGGUAUUGGAUAUUGCAGUUGUGUGCUAACCCAUCUUUCUAGCCUACAGAAAAUUCUCUGAUUGGACAUUUAUUUGGGGGGGGGGGGGUAUGGACUACUAUAGUUGAAGCAGACAUUGUUGUGGGGGAAAUUAUGACGAUGAAAAGGAACCAUGAAGAUGCUGAAUUGAUUGGUAACUGGACUGUAGCAGAAAGCUAGUGGCUGUAGAAGCAGAGGACACUGCUUUUUAAAGUUACUUCCAACCUAAAGAAAAGCUUAUGUAAAAUUCAAAUGGAAACCUGAUUAUUUUGAUGAAGCUAUAAUGACAUAUCAGAGCUCAUAGUUUAUCUUAUGCUCUUUUGAUCUCGAGUACUUUUUGAUUUGCACAUAUUCAAAUGGUUGAGAGUAUAUUUGAUUUUGCUUUCUGAUUAAUGUCAGGCUCUCAAACAACAUGAAAUUGUCCAUGACCUGUAUUUUAAGGUCACCUUGUAUGAUGUUAUUGAAAAAUACAACAACUUACCCAAUCCCACAAGUGGGAAAAGGGCAGCCUGGUGCACAAAGCAUCCAGCGUUAGCUGAGAUGUUAUUGAAAAUAUUGUACAAAAUUUAAAUCUUAUUUCAUUCCAUGGAAGUUUCCUUUUGGCUUUUAAAAAUCUUCCUAUUUGUCUAUUCAGCCUUGUGGCUUUCACUGAAUUUGGCAGGUUGUCCUUGGUCAUGAAGGCCUUAGAAGAAUAGUGUUUCUUGUCUCACUUAUACCUUACCCUUAUGUGUGUUUGUGCAGGUGAACGUAAGGACCAGAAAACUCUAGAAAAACUACGAGCUGAAAGGCAAGCCAAGAUUGAGGAACUCAAAGAGAAGACAAAUUACUAUAUAACGCAACAGCUCAUUCAGGUGAUCGCCCAUAUGCAAGGUUUUGGGCUUAUACAAGUUUCACAUGUUAUUAACCAUGAAUACUGUGAUCAGAAAAAGGAAAAAAAGAACCAUGAAAUUGCACUCUGAGAGACUUAUUUAGUAUUACAUUUCUCACUCUUUUGUCCUUGCCUCUAUUGUCGUGAUUUUCCAAAAAACCUUUUUUUGACAAAUUCCAAGCAUCAUUGUUGAAUCUUUUGUGCAGAGAUAUGACCCCGACCCAGCAGCUAAGGCAGCUGCAGCCACUGUGCUUGCAUCCAAGCUUGGUACAGAUACUGGCUUGAAAGUGUAUGUGGGAGAGGACACUAAGCAUAAUGUCCCUACUGGGAAGAGCAACGAUGUUGAAGUUGUGCAAUCUACUGGGCUGAGAAAUAGGAAGCAGGCAAGGUCUAGUAGUCCAGAGAGUGCUGUAAUAGAUCAUCCUGGUGCGGAAAUGCGUCAACAGGCACAGCUUGAAGGUUCUGAUAUGAUGCAGAAUCAGCAAACGGUUGUUGAGCAUUACAAUCCGACAGGUUCCAGCACACAAGAUGGAGGAUGGAUUGCACGAAUUGCAGCGUUGCUUGUAGGAGAGGAUCCAACCCAGUCUUAUGCACUCAUCUGUGGCAAUUGCCAUAUGCACAAUGGUAAGAACUAAAGAAUUCAAUGAUAAUAAAACCCAAUUAGUGGAGCAGAUUCACUUAAAGAAUGGUGAAUAAGUAAUGGCAUUACUAUCAUUUGCAGGGUUGGCCAGGAAAGAGGACUUCCCUUACAUAACCUACUAUUGCCCUCAUUGCCAUGCCCUGAAUAGGCCUAAGCAACUUGAUGAUCGUGUCUCUGGUACCAGUACCCCUAACCUUGGUUCCACAACUUCUUUGGCUGAUGUUGAUUCGGUCAAACAAGUCGGUGGAUCUACUCCGGAUAAGAUACCCGCAUCAGCAAGUGGCAGUCCUGUAGCAGCUCCAGUGGAAACAGAAGGUGAUAACAUAGUGUCCAGUGUUUCUAACAGCUAGUAGAUGGCGAGUUUUGAAUAGAGUCGUGCAGGCGAGUGCUUUUUUUCCCUAUAUAUGUGUAGCGGGUUUUUUUUUCUUUUCUGGGUAAUGUGUAACUCUCUGUUGUAUACAUAGUAGAAACAUAUUCAACGAUUCAUACGGUAGCUUCCCUGGAAACUUUUCUACAGGCGCAAUAUACCUCAAUUUCCUCCAAUUUGUUUCUUUUGUUUUGAGAAAUAUUAGGCCAUCAGCAGAGCUUUGUGAGAUUUUCUGACUGCAGAGUUUGCAGUUCCUCUCACGUGUAUUCUCUUCUUGAAUCAUUUGUCAAGUACAUUCUCCUACAUGAUUGAGUUUGUAUAUUAUCCAAGUGAGCUUUCCUACUUCCAUUUUCACUUGCUUGGCUAUUUGUUUUUGCCUCUUUUUUCUUAUUGUUGUGAAUAAUCAUUGCCCUUCCAUCGGCCCGAAGACAUCACACGAGCGAAACAAAAUUGUCAAGAGCUACAUUUCAGGUACGUGUAUAUGGCGCCAUGAUUGUUAAGGUGGUUUGACAUUUGUGCAAUGACACCAACAUAUCCAGUGUAGUCCCACAAAAUCGUCAAAAAUUAAAGAGUCAAGUCUUUUUGGAAACGCAUCAUGAAGUGUGCUGGUUGAAGUGAGAUUGUCUCACCGGAUUGUUUCGAACAUAAUGAAUGAGUGUGUAUUUGAAUAAAUUCAAUUCAUCAACACUCUCAUCAGAUCUCGUUGGCAUGCCUCACCAAAUGAAAAGAAGUCAUAGGAGCAACCCGCUCAGUGGUUUGGGCGUUGGAGGUCUCAAGUUCGAAAUCCCUUGCCAGUGAAAGCAAGGGGUUUGCCUUCUGGGUCGAGCUCGUCGCAUCAGACUUGCCUAGUGCAGGUUACCUAUGUUUUACCCUGUGCGCACCUAAAGGAUAGCGGCUGCGGGGUUUCCUUGUCAUAAAAAAAAAGUCGUAGGAGCAAGUUAAGAGUUAGUAUUCUCUGACUUCAUUCUUACGCUAUAUAUUAAAAUGACUUAAUAUUUUCAGCUUUAUUUAAAAUUUGAGUUCUUUUUUUUUCAUGAAUAUACAUGUUCAUGGAAUUACAUCAACUAUUUAGAAUAGUCCUUUUGCAACUCUAUGAAUUCAAGUCUUCUUAAGAAGUGAUUGAGUUAAUUUGCAUUAUACUAGAGUUUUAUUAGAUCAAAAGGAGUUAACCUUUCUUAAACAGUGAUUUUUAUGUGAAAAACAAGUCUUUUUCUAUUUUGUUUCGAGUGAAAAAUUGGAAACUGUUAAAAAAUUUAAAGAAAAAGUGAAUAAAAUGCUCAGUUGGAUUAAAGAAAGAAAGAAAAAAAAACUAUUAUAGUGCAAAAUGGAAUAUUGUUUCCAAUAUCAUAAAAGUUGUCUAUCAAGUUAAUUCUUUUUUUAUUUCCCAUCCGGUGUCUGGUAUCCAUAUUAAAGCUUGAUUAGCCCACAUUGGAGGAUAAAGUGCUCCCUAACAAAGACGACUCCGUACCCAUGGGAACUCAAAUCCGAUACCUUUAUUAAGGAUGAAGGAGUAUUUACCACUCCACUACAACUCUUGUUGGUUUCUAUCAAGUUAAUUCACCAAACGAGUUUGUUAAAUGAAAGAAUAUUUACCAUUCUAUCAUAACUUUUGUCGGUUAUUCUUAUAAAAUAUCAGUCUCAUAUUAUUUGAAAUGAUACCAUAUUUAAUCGCUUCUUGACUAACCUUUCACGAUUUCAAAUACACCAUCAAAUUCAUGUUCAUAUGUAUAGACUAGAUUCAUUAAAUCAACGUUUCUAACAAAAACUUUUUCUUAAAAUAAAAUAAAUAAUGAAAGGAGUAUAUUAUAACAAUAACAAAGAUUGAAAAUUAUAAUGAAUCAUGUAAGAUUUUUUUCUCAUAACUGCAUGAUUUUUUUACUCACAAUUGCAUAAUUAAUAUGGGUCACCAAUAUUCAAUCACCUAUUAAUUAUCCAAUCCGCUUAUUUGUCACUCAUAUAUAUAAAAUAUUACUUAGUUUUUUUUUAUAUAUAUAAAACUCCACAUAAUUAACACACAUAACUUAUAUAAAUAUAUGCAUUGUUUUAUACAUGAUAAAUUAUGUAGAAGAAUUAUACAUGUAUUAACAAUACUAAAUUAAGCUAAUUUUUUAUGUAGGUAUUAUAAUUUCCAUUUCAUUCCCCAUAUAAUCAAUGUGACCACAUAUAAAUAUAACCUCUCCAUAACUUGUCAAUAAAAUCAAACUAUAUCUUAUUUCCUCUAUCAAUUUAUAUAGUAACAUUUUAUUAUUUGAGAAGUAAUCAUCCUUAUUUUGAGCAAGUUCUUCUGAAAUAUUUUCUAGUUAAUCUCAUUUUUUAGUUUUUUUUUUUCCGUCAUUUUUUAAUGGACAAAUUAUACUUCAUGAAAAAGUUAAUACCAACAUAAAAAAAUCAUUUGUCCCUUCAAUUAAUUGAAGUUCUCACCAGAAUGUGGUGCGGAUGCUGAAUGGAUCUGCCUUUCCCUUUACUCAAAAAUCUCGAUGUUGAAUUUAAAUAUAAAAAUAUUAUUUUUUAGAUAGAAAAUACUUUCAUUGAAUUAAUUCGAUUCAAAUGAGGAUAUGAUAUCUAAUGAAAUUGGAAUUUUUUCAAUAGAAAACUUAACUGGGUCAGUUUACGACCAAUCUUUCUUUUUUUUCUUCCUCAAAACUCCCCAACGUUCUUUAAUUCCCUACAAAGAUUAGCUGAGAUCUGAAACAAUUUUUUCCACUGAAUUCACCAGAUCAAAUCCUCUGCAUAUUUUUGUAUUGUGAUUGCUGAAAUCAUACAAGGAUUUUUAAAAAAAUGGUACUUGUAGCAGCGGUGAGGGACUAUAUCAAUCGCAUGUUGCAAGACAUUUCUGGGAUGAAAGUCCUCAUUCUUGAUUCCUCUACGGUUUGUUCUUUUCUUUCCACAAUUUAAAGAAACCCUUUUGUCUGCUUCUUUGUUUGUGCAUAUGUCUUUUGUAAAUUAUUGAUUUUUGUGAAGAUAGUUGAGGUUGAUGAGGGUUGUUGUCUGAUCUGACAAUGGGUAAGUGUGGGUGAUAAUUCAAGUUCAGUGCAAUUACUUCUUUAGUGGCGCAUUUUUGAGUAGUAAAUCCGGUGAUCUGAUGCUUUUCUUGUUUGAGUUAAUAUGUAAUUACCAAACAACAACAACAACAACAACAACAUACCUAGGAAAAUUCCACUAAGUGGGUUUGGGGGUAGAGUGUACGUAGACCUUACCACUAGCUUGAGGAGGCAGAAAGACGGUUUUUGAAAGACCCUCGGCUCAAGUGCAUCAAACCCAAUAUGUAGUUACCAAAGAAAGAAAAAAAAGACUCUUGAGCUUCAAUCAGUAUAUCAACCAGUCAACUACUUUUAUAUUAGUUGGGUUAGCUAUGUGAAUCAUUUGUACCCAUUCUGUAUCUGUUGAGGUUUAUUUCAUUUUAAUACUAAAUAUUUUGCUUUAAUCCAACUUAGGAGUUCCUUAAAAACCAGAAUUCUCUGAAUAGUAUCCCUACAAAGAUAUACAGGUCUAACCAAGAAUUGUUAGCAGUGCGGUCAAUGAAACACUAAAGGAAUAUGGAAGUGCUCAUUGCUGAGGCUACAUUAAGAAUUUGAUCAUUGAGGAUAUGGGGGUAGAUUUUGAGAUGCAGACAUGGUAUUAAUAAUUCCUAACUUAUCAGAUGUUUGCUUAAUACAUCUGAAAAAGGAGAAGAAAGCAUGAAAGGUGUUAUCAUUAGUUGUGGUAGUGAUGGAGUUGUCAUGGAAGUGAUUGUAGUAAAGCAAAGAUGCGAAACCCUUUCUUGUUGGUGAAGUUAUGUGGUUGGAUGAGGUGACUAGACUCUAGGCAAUGCUUGCACACUUUACUGUGCUAGUUUGUGUUUGAUAAGCUGUUAUUUAUAAAUUUGAUAUUAGAGCAGCCAUUAUACUUUCAAAGAGAUGUAAGCUGCUGUUUAUGAAUUCUGAAGAUAGAGGAUCAAAAUUUUGUUUCUUGCUGGAGUGGAUUCAGGCAUGAUUUGGAACUUGGAAGAUCUGAAUGAUGCCUAAGGCAGCAUGAGACUCUAUAUAGCUAGAAGACGAAUCAGGAGCUUAUCAAAACAGUCACAAUUUUGCAUUUUGGGAAGGGUGGAUGGAGAAAUGAUAGAUGUUUUAUAUGAAGAAUGAAUGAAGAAGAGAAACCUUUCAGUGUUUGAAGUCCGAAUGCUUAUCGUUUUUGGUGGUUUUAGGUGUAAUCUAGUUGUAAAAUGAUUUACAUAUUGUAAUGAUUUUGUUAUUUCUCUACAUAGGUUGGGGUGAGUAGAUGUUUGUACUUUCUACAGAUUUAGCUCCCAUUUGGUGCUACUUACUUAUGCGUUUGAGUGUGUAUUCGAUGAGCAUUGUUUCAAGUGACAUGACCAUGAUUGAAAUAUCACUGCACAACUAGUACAAUUUAGAAGUUUUAUGAUUCACUAGUUGUGAAUGCUCUCUACAACAACAAGCAAAGUAUGAGGCAGCAAGGGACGUGUCACACCCUAGGCAAAUCCUGCAUCAGGCAAACACAUGCUGCGUAUGUAAGGAAAUAAGCAUUAGACCCUACUGACGCGCUUUGAAGCCGUGUGGUUUAGAUCCAAAAUGGACAAUAUCACCAGUGGGCUGGGCUGCCUAAUAGAUGAAAACCCUAUAAAUUCCUUUCCAAUAGGGUUUCUUCUCAGUUCAAUAGCUUUGUCUCAUAUGUGUUGCCUACCAUGUUGGCUUCUUGUCUAGCAAAAGCUGCCUGUUCCAGAAGAUUUUAUGCAACCAACUUAUUAAUGGCCUUAGUCUGUAAGAAGAGGAAUAGAAUAUGCUUUAUUAGAUAGGUUAUGGAGACUAAACGAAGAAAAAAAGGAGACUUAAAAGGAUAUGAUAAACGCUAAAUAUGGACAAGUGAACUUCUGGAAGCCUAGCCCUCUGGCAGCCGCUUACAAGAAUACAAUUUGGAAAAAGUAUUUGUCAGCUUUGGGAAGAAUUUCAACUGUAUAUGUAGUUGAAAAUUGGAAAUGGUAAGAGAACAGAAAAACUGGUCUGAUCAUCUUCGGAGAUGCCAAAUCAAAACUCAUUUCCUGUUUUUAUGUAUUGCAUGGUGGUGGAUUGUUAUAUUCAGUUUACUCUUCUAGAAGAAUUUUUAAUGAUUGGGAGGUGGAUGAAGCUUGUGAAUCAUUGAAUUUAUUGAGGCCAAUUAAACAGGAUGAGAACAGCAGAGAUAGGUGAUUUUUGGUUGGCGGGUAAUUAUGGUGUAUUUUUACCUUACCUUCUUAGGAAAAGAGUAAUAGUAGUGCAUUCUCCGUGCAAGUUGCUACAAAAGCAAGCUGAAAAUUGGAAAGCUGAGUGGCCAUGGGAAGUGAUUUGGAAAACAAAAGCUCUUCCAAAGAGGCUUGUUUUUGGUUGGGUGGCUACAAAGAAUGCUUGCCUAACGUUGGACACUUUACAAAGGAGUGGAAUUUCAUCGUGUAGCAAAUGCUUUGUUUGUGAAAUAGCAUGGGAAACCACUGAUUCUUCUACUGCAUUUUGACUCAACCCGACAAGUUUGGACAUUAUUUCUGUAUAUUUUUUGGGUGUAGUACGUGAUGCCAAAGGAUGUCAAGAAUCUAAUGUCAAGCUGGCAGGAACAGAGCAUCGGGAACAAUCUCAAACGAAUUUGUUGGACUUACCCAUUAUGUAUCACGUGGAAUAUUUGGCUGGAAAGAGAUAAGAGAUGUUUCGAAGAGAAGAAGCUACAUUUAUCUCUAGUUGAAUCUGUAUGUAUUCAUAGUUUGUUCCUCUGGUGCAUCGACACAGGAUGGAGAACCUGGAGCCAGAGGUGGACCCACAUGGAAGGGUGAUGGAUCAUGGGACCCUGUUAACUUCGGAAAAGAUCUUGUAUAUGUGUGUUAUACCUUGAUAAAGGAUCAUUUAUCUUGUUAGGCACCCUGAGACACAAAUGUUGAUCAGGUGCACUGGUCCAACUUGUUGCUUAGUCCCUCUGCGCAAGUGUGAUCGCCAGUAUUCAAAUCUUCGUCGUUGCAUUCUUCUUGCGAAGAGGACCUUAAUAUGUAAAGUGGGUUCACAUCCAUCAAACUGCACAAUGAGCCACUGUUUUAUUUUUUCUCGUUUAAUAUUUAUCAAUCUAAGUACAUCAGAUUUUGUGUGUGUAAAAUAAAAUUUUCGACGAAGGGGUGUCGCAUGACACUGCUUCGACUAAUAUGCAUCCGCCUCUGGUGGUGCCCCCGCCAUGUUCAAAUCCUGGGUCUGCCUGAUCAUCUUUUUGGUUUUUGAACUCCACGAUGGCAAAGAUAUAAUGAAGUCAUUGUGAUUGUCUUUUUUGAACACUUUUGCAAUAUUUUCUUGGUACUAGCUUAAAUAAAAUCAUCUUUACAUUAUUAAUAAAAAAGAGUAUAUGUGUUGCAUGUGCAACAACUUUGUUGGUGGAAGUUAGAGAUCUACUGUAAGGGUGUAUUAGGUGUGGAUUCUGGAUUCUGCAGGAUGGUUUGCUUUAAAAUUUGAGCUCUUUCCUCUUCUAAUUAGAUUUUGUCUAUUGGAUACAUCAGUUGGUGUGGGAUGGUUUUAUGGAGGAUAGUCUUCUUUGACAUUUAAGCCUUUUUUUUUUUUGAAAACUCAUUUCAGCCUUUUCUUUUUCUACCUGUAUGUACACUCUUUUUAGAUAGGUUAAGUGUUAACCUUAUUGAAAUACCUGCAUAAAGUGAAUGCCAGGAGAGAUUACAACCACAAGGAUGAGCCAUUACAAGUUAUUUAAUGCACUUAGAAGUCAACAAUGGCCAAGGUAUCAUUUACAUCUGAAAGGGCCAUGUUGCACCAAAGCCUAAGCAAAAUAUACAAUUGCGCUAAGAAUAUAAUCUUCAUUUCUUCAAAAAAAAUUGUGGUUGUUGAAGAAUUGUGCACCAGAAAGGAUAGGAGCACCACCUUAUACCUAGAAUGUUGAAGACCAUAUCCCAAAACUGAGAAUUAUACUUGCGGUGAAGAAAGAAGUGGUUAAUGUUCUCUUCCCUUUUCUUGCAAAGACAACAUCUGUUGCUCAACUGAAAAUUGUUAGGAGUAAGAUAAGCCUCUUUAAUAUCAUCGAAAUGAUAUUUCACUUUGUAUGAAGCUUUACUCCACCAAAUGGUUUUCCAGGGCCACAGAGGAGUAGGUGCUGGUUUUUCCAACAGAGUGUAGCAGCUUCUAACGGUGAAGGCAUCUUUGGGGGGUUCCUUUCCAUUUGAGAUUGUCCAUGGUUGCAUUAAGCUAAGGAGAGAUGUCAUGUUGUUACAAUAGGCCAAGAUAGCUAUCAAGUUCCCAGUCAUUGAGGUUCCUUCUAAAAAGGAUAUUCCAACCAUGACCAUCUCGAAAAUUUGCAACAGUUGCCAUUUGAUUUGAGGAGAGACUAAACAGUAUUGGCAAGGGUUCCUUGAGUCGAGAAUGGCUGAGCCAAGUCCAGCCAAAAUCUUAUAGUUGCCCAUUUCUUUCUUUGUGUUUGCCCCAAAAAUUCCCACACAUUCCGAAUUUAUUUCCAGACACCCAGCGUCAUGGGGAAAGUGACGCCCAAGGAUGCAGCAUACCAUAUUAUAGAAACAAUAACAUUCCUCCAGAGAUCAUUAUGUUCAUAAUUAAACCUCUAAAGCCAUUUACAUAACUAACUUCUAUUGUGGCUUUUUAAAUCUCGAACACCUCACCCCUAGCUUCUUAUCCAUUGUUGCAGAUCCACUUAACCAAGUUGGAAGAACUUUUUUCCUUGUUGCGUUGUCAUAAGAAAGCGCUCCGGUUUUCUUCAACCCUUUGGGCACCGCUACCUGCAUUAAAUAGUGACAUAGUGUAUGUAGACAAUGGGUCUAGUACACUGUUAGAACCAGUCUUCCGUCCAAGAGAAAGAUUUUACCUUUUCCAAUCCGAUGGUUUCUCUUCACGCCCUUUUUUUUUUGUAGUAUUUCAUCCCAAAUAGAAAUAAAAUUAGCUUUAGCCCCAAGAGGAAGUCCAAAAUAUAUGGUCGUCAAAUAAUCAAUAUUACAUCCCAAAGUUUCUUCUAGAAGGUUAAUAUUCUGAAUCAAUUCUCAGGAAAACAACUACUUUUGGAGUAGUCAAUUGCUUAUUGGUACAUUCUUUUGGUAGUUAAGUUGGUAAAAUAUGGCCACAAAUGAUGUAAUUCUGGUAACUAGGAGAGCUUGCCUGACCCUGACAGGCUGACACAUGAUAAACUUAAAAAGAGGGGAAGAAUUAUUGCCUCAAGAUGUUAUCUUUGUAAAGAGGCUCUAGAAACCAACAAUCAUCUAUUCCUCCACUGCAAAGUAACAACACAAGUAUGGGCUCUAUUCACCAAUUUAGCUAGCCUAAAUUGGAUUAUGCCAGAACAUAUAGCAGACCUAACUAAGUUGUUGGGUCAGUAAGGGGAGGUAGUAAGAGCCAGGAGGAGGGUGGUGGAGAACAGUACCUGCUUGUAUCUGGUGGAUCAUUUGGAAGGAGAGAAAUCAGAGAAUUUUUGUAGGGAAAGAAUGCACUAUAGAGAAGAUUAAUUGGAAAGUAAUUACACUUUAGGUUUUGGUGUAAGAAAUGAACAUAGAAGAAGAAAAUUCAACUAGUGGAUUUCAUAGGAGCUUUGUAAGUAGUUCUGUUUUCUUUUUUUUGUUGUUAUUUCUAUGUAACUAACACUUUUGCAGGUGGCCAGCAUAGCCCUUAAUGCUGAGGAAUUCAAAAUUACCAGUUUCAAAAAAAAAAAAAAAAAAAGCUUUACCAGAAUAAUAAUUAAUUUUGUUGGAUUCUUAAGAUGUUAAGUGCUAGUUAAGUUUUAGUUGAUUAUAUCUGCAAAAUGUCUUACUGUGUUAAUGCUAUCCAUUCAUAAAUCGUUGUUGCCAAAUCAGGUGUAAAACUUAAUAAACCUGAGGUCAAUUAUGGUAUUGUUGAGUCUCACAUCUCAUAAAUUCUGAGAAGUGCAAUACAGAGUGAUGUUUACUUUUCACUCUUGAUGAGCAGGUUAGUUCUGUUAGUGUUGUGUACUCUCAGUCAGAGCUUCUGAAGAAGGAGGUGUUCCUGGUGGAGCUGGUAGAUUCUAUUGCCAUGUCCAAGGAAUCCAUGUCACAUCUUAAAGCAGUUUAUUUUUUGAGGCCAACAUCAGAGAAUAUCCAGCAUAUGCGUCGUCAACUAGCUAAGCCACGAUUUGGAGAAUAUCACCUUUGUAAGUAUGUCCUCUUUAAUUGGAUGACAUGAAAAAUUUGCUAAUAUACGUCUGUGAACUGGUACUUUUCAGAAGAACUUAGUUUUGAUGCUGUUGUCAGUGUUUCUCAAGAAUGACACAUUUCAUAUAUCCUUUUUAUUGCACAGUUUUCUCCAAUAUUUUGAAAGAUACUCAACUUCAUAUGCUAGCCGAUUCAGAUGAGCAUGAAGUUGUCCAGCAGUUGCAGGUAUGGUUAGGUUGUUAAGGUAUUGUGAAUUCAAACAUAGAAGUUUUAAAUUUUUUGAAAUAAAAUCAAGUAUAUAUUUGGAAACAAUGUACUCUAAAUCACACUAAUUAACCACGAAAGUUAUAUGGCAAUCUUACAAGAUAUUUUUCCAAAUAAAGGUGAUUGUUUAACUUUUUGCAAAAAAAAUAGUUUUUCAUACUCCAAAAAAAUACUCCCUCCGUCACAUUUUAUGUGGCACCAUUUUCUUUUUAGUCAGUCCCAAAAAGAAUGUCACAUUUCCUUAUAUGGUAAGUUUAUAAAGGUACAAUUCCUCUUUUAUCCUUGUUGGUCCCACUUAAUCUUAAAAUAAUACUCCAAUACAUUUAUGAGGAGAGAGAAAAAAGAGUCUACUUUUUAAAGGGCAAUUUGGUAAACAUUUCAAAGUCUUCAUUUAUUUCUUAAACUUCGUGCCCGGUCAAAUGUUGCCACAUAAAAUGGGACGGAGGGAGUAUCAUUUUCUGCUAUUUUACUGGUUUUAGUUUUCUUGUAAGAAGAGCAAGGAUUGUAGUUUGUUUUUUGUGUAAACAUCUUUUGGUUUCCAGCACAAUCUUUGUGCUGAAGAUUCAAAUAGUAUACCAAUAUGUUACCUUCUAAAAAAGGGGAAAUCAUUCGCAAUCAAAAAGAAUAUUGUAUAGUAUUGAAAAAUUUAAGAAAUUAUAGCUCUAUCCACUAUCCAGAAACUGAAGAUGAAGUGCCUUGCCCUUUUCUAUUGUUGGCGUAUAAACAUGAAUAUAUAGAAGACAUAGAAUCUUCUAUUGAUGUUCUAAGAUCUCUGUAAGAUGGUGAUAGCUUAGUACAUCUUCCUAUAUUCCCCUGUAAGUAUGGACACGUGCAGUUUUUAUGCAGUAAAUAGUCAUACAAAAAAUGUUACCCUCUCAAAAAAAUAAUGAUUAAGAAAUUGUUGCUGAUACAUAUUUCUAUUAGAGCUCUAAAAAUUUGUUGUAGCCUGUAACUUGUUUAAAUUUGUAGUUGAAACUAGAAAUUCGCUAUGUUACAUGAUUAUUGACGUGAUUUGCAGGAAUUUUAUGCAGAUUUUGUUGCAUUGGACGCUUACCAUUUCACGUUAAAUAUUGCCGCAAACCACAUGUAUAUGCUCCCAGCAGUUGUAGAUCCAUCAGGUUUGCAGCAGUUCUGUGAUCGAAUUGUUGAUGGAAUUUCUGCAGUUUUCCUGGCGUUAAAGCGAAGGCCUAUUAUUCGAUAUUCAAGGACAUCUGAUAUUGCGAAAAGAAUAGCACAUGAAGCUUCUGUAAGCAUGCCAGCUGUUUCUUUCUUUCCCCUCAACUUUAAUUGUUCGUGCUUUGUAGCCUAACAAGUUCUAUUAUUAGGUUUAUUUCAUUUACCCUGCUUAGGGUCGAAGGUAUAGUUGGUUUUGGAUAUUUGAGAUAGGAAAAGGAAAAAGUUGAACAUGUGUUUCAUUCAUAUUGCAGAAGCUGAUGUACCAGCAGGAGAGUGGCCUUUUUGAUUUCAGAAGAACAGAAGUGUCUCCAUUGUUGCUAAUAAUUGAUAGGAGGGAUGACCCCGUGACUGCACUGCUUAAUCAGUGGACUUAUCAGGUAUGGGUAGUCAGUAAGUUCUCCAGGUUUGUUAUUUCUAACAAAUUAUGUCUCCCCCUCUUUUUCUUCUUCAAGUCACCUCGGAGUGUCACAUAAUGCUUCUCGUUUGUUUAUGUACUUCUACAGGCAAUGGUUCAUGAGUUGAUAGGUAUUCAAGAUAAUAAGGUCAACCUGAAAAACGUUGGCAAGUUGCCAAAAGAUCAACAGGUCAAAAAGCUCUUUCCUCUUGUAUCUAAAUACUACCUUGUUGUCUUUUCCACAGUGAUUCAUUUGCUGUUGAUUUUUUAUGCUUUCAGGAGGUUGUACUGUCAUCUGAGCAAGAUGCAUUUUUCAAAGCAAAUAUGUAUGAGAACUUCGGAGAUAUUGGAAUGAAUAUUAAGAAAAUGGUGGACGACUUCCAACAAGUGGCAAAAAGUAACCAGAAUAUCCAGACGAUAGGUUUGUAUUGUAGCUUGGGUUGUACAACAAGUGUUUCUGUUGCAACUCACUCAAACAUGGUAUUUUUCUACUAUAAAAGAAGCUUCUGUUUAUAAUACUUGCAUCUUUGCAGAGGACAUGGCUAAAUUUGUAGACAACUACCCAGAAUACCGAAAAAUGCAAGGGAAUGUUUCUAAGCAUGUGACACUGGUUACGGAAAUGAGCAAAAUAGUUGAAGAGCGAAAACUCAUGUUGGUUUCACAGACAGAACAAGAAUUGGCUUGCAAUGGUGGACAAGGGGCAGCAUUCGAGGUAGUUUGUUCCUCCAGGAUUGAAGCAUAAUAUUCUUAUUAUUUAUGGAAUAUGUGGAGAACUUGAGUAGAGAAAUAAGGAAAAUUUUGGUUUAGUCUUUUCUCUGUUUUCUACUUGUGGUGGUUAUUUGGACCAAGUUUGAUAUGCUUAAUUCCUUUUCUUUCUGAUAAACUAGUUCACAUUCUAAGUUUCCUUUGAUCACAUUGAAGAUGUAACUAAACCAAGGUAACUCUGCUCUUAAGCAACACUGAUUUUCUUUAACUUCUACUUUGGAACUGUAUUUGAAAUUAUUGUUUUAACGAACAAUUACUUCUAAUGUAAACUGAAAGUAAAUGAGUUGUUUAUGAGAGGGGAGGAGGGAUGAGGGGAUGAAAGACUUAGGGCCUGUUUGGAUGGGCUUAUAGAAUGUAACAUAUGAAAUUAUUAAUAUGUCAAUGAGUUUACCCCAAGGCCUAGCUCGAGUGGCAAAAGGUGGAGGAUUUGUGGUUAGGUCACAGGUUCAAGCCCCACACCAUGCAAAGCAAAGCCCGGCAUUUAAGUGGAGAAGGGUAGAGAGGGGGGGGGGGCAUUAUCCACUGAGUUUAGAAGGCUGUGAUUGGUCCAUAGGGCGGGUCGCAGACGGAUUUCUUGGUUAUCAAAAUAAAAUAAAAUAUGUCAAUGAGUUCGCAGGCUCUGAGCAAUAUUGUUGAUUCUAUAAAUAAUACAAGUGUUUGCAUCUCCUAAAACAAAAGAAGAGCUGACAAAUUUAGUUCAAUCAAAUACUAAGUUUUUUUUGAUAAAAAAAAUAUUCUGCCUUUCUGUACUAAAAUAAUUCACCUUACAUCAUUGAUAUGUUUGAUGCUAUUGUUUUCUGAUAAUUUCAUUGCAGUGGUAAAUUAACUCUUUUUUUCCGGUGAGUUCUUAGCUUAAAUCAUGACUGGAGAUUUAUUGCAAAGUAGUCUGUUGCCAUUACUAUAUAUAUGUUAUUGAUACCCUGGUUGUAGAAACUCUUUAAACGCAAAUUUCAAAUCUUUGAAACAUGUUACUCGUGUUCAGAAUUCAGAUAUCUGCCAAGUGAACCUAUACAGUGGAAUGGCGACUCUGAAACUGAACCAAUUCUCAAGUCAGAUGCUCACAAUGUUAAACUGAACCAACAUGUAUUGAGCGAAUUUUUUUAAUUAAUAUGCCAUUGUUCCAUUUGAGUUGUCUUUUACUUAAAACUAGUGACUUUAAUUAAUAUGCUAUUGUGCAGAUCUUUUUGGGUAUAAUUUCUUUUCUAUUCUGCUAUGUCUACAGGCUGUGACAAAUCUAUUGAAUAAUGAUAAUAUCUCUGAUGUUGACCGCCUGCGCCUUGUCAUGCUGUACGCCUUGCGCUAUGAGAAGGAGAGUCCUGUUCAACUCAUGCAGCUAUUCAACAAAUUAGCAUCUCGGUCGCCCAAGUAUAAGCCUGGGGUAAGGAGGAGUACUAUGAUUGUUGCCCCUUUUCAGUUUUUUUUUUGUGUUAGUCCUGCUAUCUUGGUUCUGUUUGCUUUUAUUACCUGUAUCUUACAAGUUAUUCUGCCUCUGCCCAAUGUCUCUCCUUGUGAAAGAGUAAAAGAAGAUAAUUAGGACCUCACUCAGUGCCUUCUGUAAAGGCCAUUUUUCUUUUAGCUAACAGUUAAUGUGCUUUAUUCGUUUUGUUGAUUGAUCUGAUCUGUUUGUGGGUGAUAAAAAGUGAUUGCUUCUGAUGGUCUUCAAAGAUAUUUUGAUGGCCUGGCCUUAAAGAUUCUACUUUUCUGUUUAUGCUAUGAAGUUUGUACAAAAAGGGAUAAAAAGAGGAAUAAAUAUUCCAUUCUCUGAAAGCUUGGUUAUUAUGUUUAAUUUAAGUAGGUACAAAGUCAGUGGUCUUAAAAAAAAAAAAAAAAAAAGAGUGGUCUUGUUUAGUCCAUGCUGGUUGUUGGUUAUAGUUUAUAUGUAGGUAUUGGUAUCAAAGUAGGUUUUCUUCUAUUGUUAAUCUGCACUUGAUGUUACAUUGGCAAUUUUAUCUGACAAAUGAAAUCAUUUUUAUUGGUUAUGGUUUGAAGCUAGUGCAAUUCCUUCUAAAGCAAGCAGGAGUUGAUAAGAGAACUGGGGAUCUGUACGGGAACAGAGAUCUUCUGAACAUUGCACGUAACAUGGCUCGUGGGCUCAAGGUGUGUCUAGAACUAGAAUACUUUCUUUCUGUCUCUGUAAUAUUAACAGAAACCAGAAGUUUAAUGUAAUAUAGGAUGGUAGAAACAUCUCCUCAAGCACUUGUACUUGAGAAAAGAAAAUGUCACAUUAUAGACAAUUUAUUGAUCCCUUCGGCCAUGGCUGUAUUUUUUAGUUUAGUGCAUGUACGAUGCUUGCAGAGAACUUAAAAAGGUCAGUGAUAGACCUAUUUUUGUGUAACCAGAAGUAUUUUUUAAGGUUACACCACGUAGGUUUUGGUACAUUACAUCCAUAUGUAUUACAAGCACACGUUAAGCGUUCGAGCAAUAUACACAAUCUUUUAUACAAACAGGAAUUUCCUGGUUAUACAACGAUAUAACAUAGACAUAAGGCUUUUUUUUUAUAAAGGUGACAAAAUGCUGCUAAUUUCCAUAAUAUGCUUCUGUUUGUUUCUAAUUCUUGUUUUGUCCACCAGCUUAUUGACAUGUCUGCCACACUUUUUGGGAUAACCCAUUGUAUUUUCAAAACAGAAAACAACAAUUUAACUCUUAAGGCAAGCGACAAUGUAACAGCAGGUGAUCAGUAACCUCUUCCCAUUGUUUGCUGAUACAGCAACUACUAAUGAUAAUAAAUCUUCUAUUCCUUAAACCAUUUCCCGUCAGAACAGCAUCACACACUGCACACCAUGUAAUAGAAUCCAGCUUUCUCGAAAUGCUAGAACUCCAAAUGGUUUGAGCAGAAGCAUCUCACAGAUGACUCUAUUAAGUUAAAAUAUCCUCCUCCCUGCUGUGCAACUUCUGGAAGAUUAUCGUCGUCCCUGAAAUGAUUCUUACUUUACUUUCCAACACCUUCUAGAUGUAGAUAUUAGUAGUUUACAGUUGUCUUUUGUCACAGGGGGUUGAAAAUGUGUAUACCCAGCAUCAACCGCUUCUAUUCCAAACUAUGGAGAACAUCACCAGGGGUCGAUUGAGAGAUGUGGACUACCCUUAUGUAGGAAAUCACUUUCAGCAAGCAAGGUCAGUCAGUUGAGCUGCAAUGAUAUUUCAAAUUUUACUAUUUCCAUACAGUUUUCAGCCUUUUCUCUAGUUUUAGUGCUCCAAGAGAAUGAGUAAGUAGAACUCUAGCCAGUUGACUUGUUUUUAUUUACAAGACUUUAGCAGUUUGACGCAGAAGUGCAACUACUUUCAUAAAUAAUUCUGGCAUUCAUGAAAUCUUUCUCAUAGUAUGUAUCUCUGAUACUAAAGCCACAAUCUUUGUUGUGAUUGAAAUUUAUAACCUAGCUAUUGGAGCAAUCAACAGCUUCUCAGGUUCUACUAUCUUGAUUUUAUAUGUCUUAAAUAGGGGUCAAUAGAUUUCUUUUGUGGUUAUGCUAAUGCGUUGAAUAAUGUUAACUUUGUAAACCAACAUCUAGUACCAUUCUCUUUCUUAUCACAAGUCAAUCAAUAGAUUUCUUUUGUGGUUAUGCUAAUGCAUUGAAUAAUGUUAAUUUUGUAAACCAACAUCUAGUACCAUUCUCUUUCUUAUCACAAGUCAAUUUCCCUUGUUAACACGGGUUGGGUAGAAGCUGUGAAAAGAAAACAGAGGCAUCAUUUGUUAACAGGGACUUCCUUUAGGAUUUCUAUGAAGCCAAACACAAAACACAUGGCUCUUGAUCUCUCUCUGAUAGAGUUCCAGUGUAUCAUGUUAGGCUUGCCUUCUAUUAUCUGGCAACUAUUUAUGCAUUCUUGGUUGAUUUAAAGUCAAGCAAUCAUCAAGUUAAGCAGAUGUAUGAUUAUCCUAUUAUAUAAGUGUAUUAAGGAAAGGCAGUCCACGAAUGGUGCCAUUUAUUAUGGAAAUUGGACAGAGAUAGAGGAUAUUUUAUAGUUAUUCUUUUUCUUUUUCCUUUUGAUAAGCAAGAUUUUAUCAAUUAAUGUUACGACCCAACCCACUGGGCCAUGUGGGCACCUACUCUAACACUUGGAUAGGAGAAUCCUUCCACCCAGUUUAAAUUAGGCCAUGCAGAAAUAAUCAAAAUUAAACUAAACAACCUAUUUAUAUAUUGAAAUACUCACAAUUUGUCAAAUCAAAAUACCUUUGUAAAGAAAAUACACCGAUCCCUCCCCUCAAGGAACUAGUCUAAACAGGUACAAGAGCUUCUAAAGAGUACAAUUUAUAAAAGAAAUAAGACACAACUCCCACCAUAAGGAAAGAAGAGAAGAAUCUGUCGGAGAUCACUUCGUCUUCGCUUAUGAAACGUCACUGAAUUCUACAACCAGACUAUGCCAAGUGGCAUAGCAGGAGUAGUAUUAGUAGAAACAACAUGUACCUGUAGACAUCAUCGGCCGACCCAAAUUCACCACAUAACAUCAUGUAAUUUAUCAGAAGAGACAUGCAACUGGAAGCCAAAUUAGGACCCCAACCCUUCAAUCACCACUCUGACCACAAGCAGUAUUCCUUGGAACCCAUACGCUCUAUCUCAAGUCACUCCAACUCCAUCUGCUGCCAACUCCACCAUCUAGGUCAUUCCACACUUAUAUAAGAUCAUAACCUAACCCUUCUAUUACAUACAGGUCCCUCAAAAACCAGACUAUUACUACUCUGUAACCAACCUACUAAUCUCCCUGAAGUUCUCAUGCCAACACCUUGGCCUUUGACCCCUUUUAGUAAACCAUAUGCAAGACUCUUACUAAACCACCUUGACUCAAAUCCCCCUUAUCAAAUAUGUUCUAAACACAACCAUAACCAGUCCCAACAUUUAAACUAUGCAACAAACCCCUGAUCAUCAAUCUGACCUAGUAACCACAACUUAGCAAAACAGAUAACAUACAAGUAUAAUCACAAGUAUGACAUAGCCCGAAUUCUUAGUCCUCACCCUAAGUUGAUAUGCACAAUAAACAUGAACAACCUCAACAUAACAAGCCAUACCUGAUUCAUUGCAACUUUCAAUUAACUCGAACCAUCAAAGAUCCCUAAACAUCAUCCACAGUGCUUAACAUGCAAACCUGCACUACCCAAGAACCAUUUCAACAUUUAAACACAAGCCCGACCACUCAUGGACCAACAUGUAACCAUCCAAUUACAAGGAAGUAAACCCGUUCUCUCAUGGAACCCACAUACAAACUGUUAGUGUACCGGUGUGGUACCCGAGCCAACCAUUGUUAGUGUACUGACAUGGUACCCGAGCCAACCAUAUAAUAUCCCGUAUCAGGCGUGGUACUCAAGCCAACCGUUAGUAAUCCUGUACCGGCAUGAUACCUGAGCCAACUAGCAACCACAAACAACAUGCACAGUCAGAAUCACAAUGAACAACCACACGUGAAACCACAUGUAAAUUAAACAAGUUCAUUGCAUGAGAUUAUAAAAUUGAAGUCAUUUCACAUUCACCUUUUAUAUCCUGAACAUGCAUUACACAAGCAUUUCACAUGGAAACGUCAACAUGAACACACACACACACACAUAUAUAUAUCUAUAGCCCAAUACUGAACCCCUUUUUGAGUACACGUUCGUUCUCGGGAAUUACCUCCAUAAUCCCAUGAAUUAAUACUCGUCCCGCUCAUUAUGUUCCCCUUGAUAACCAUAAGUCCCAGAACUGGCUAUAAUUCAACUGUUUAAGUGUGAUCGUCUCAUCUAAAAGCUUAAGCUAUUAGAGAGAACACACUUUUAUUAUUUAAUUAUAUUCUCAACAUACCCCUCACGUACGGGCAUGAUUUUUUUUCAUGAGCCAAGCACGUGAAAAUUCUUUUUGAUUUGCGUGGCAGUGAGAUUUGAUCUCAGAACCUUUGUCUUCUCUGAUACCAUGUGCGAAAUAUUGGAGAAGAAUAUUAUUGAAUUGUGUUGUGUCUACAUUAUUACACAAAGACCCUAUUUAUAGACACUAUAAUACAAUCCUUUACCAAGUAGGAUACUAAUCAUAUUCCUAUUGCUAUUCCUAAAAUUAUUCCUAUCUUGAGUAGGAUUAAAUAUACCUAUUCCUAUUCUAACAACCAUAUGAGAACUAUUGAAGAAGAAUAUUAUUGAAUUGUGUUGUGUCUACAUUAUUACACAAAGACCCUAUUUAUAUACACUAUAAUACAAUUCUUUACCAAGUAAGAUAUUAUUCCUAUUCCUAUUCCUAUUCGAAGUAGGAUUGUAUAUAUCUAUUUCUAUUCUAACACUCCCCUCAAGCUAGUGCAUACAAAUCAUAUGUACCUAGCUUGUUACAAUGUAAUUAAUACGAAGACCGAUGAGGGGCUUGGUGAGAUAUCUGUAAGUUGAUCACUCUACUUCACAAAAUUGACAGUCAAUCUCAAUGUGCUUAGUCUUCUCACGAAGUAUUGGAUUUGAGGCAUAAUGUCAGUCAAUCUCAAUGUACUUGAUCUUCUCAUGAAAUACUAAAUUUGAUGCAUAAUGCCGAUAAAACAGAGAGUGAUAAAAUUACAGUGUUGAAUUUCCCAAACCAAGCUUGAAAAGACUGUUUCAUACCAUAAAAUGACAUAUGUAAUCAACAUACAAGGCUACUAAACUCCCCUUGAGCAACAAAAUUAGGUGGUUGCUCCAUAUAGACUUCUUCACAAUGUGGUGAUAGGCGGAAAUUGCUCAAAAUCUAGUAUAAAGUAUAUGGAUCAUCUUUGGAAUCAAUAGAUAAGUUGAUAUUAAACAAGAAAGUCACUGAAAAACUGGACGGAACAUGCUUAUGCGUUAGACUAUUAGAUUUGAUGGUUGAAAAUGGUCAUAAUCUAAGAAAGGUAGGGUAAGAAUGACGGCAUGACCCUAUUGUAAAAGAGAAAUUAUAUAAGUAGGGUCGGAAUGAUGGCAUGACCCUACACAAAUAAGAAAGUAGUCACCAAAAAGAAAGGGGCUAUGUAAAUUAGAUAUGAAGAAGUAGUCACCAGAAAGCUGGCACGGUGCUACACAAAUUGGAUAUGAGAAAGUAGUCAUAGGAAUGAUGCACGUGCUACAUAAAUUAAAUAUGAAAAAAGUAGUCACCGAAAAGAUGACACAGUGCUACACAAAUUAAAUAUGAAAAAGUAAUCAAAAAGAUGACACGGUGCUACACAAAUUAGAUAUGCAAAAGUAGUCAUCGGAAAGAUGACACCAUGCUACACAAAUUAGAUAUAAGAAAGUAGUUACCGUAAUGAUGACACGGUGCUGCACAAAUCUAAUUAAAUAUGAGAAAGUAGUCAUUGGAAAGAUGUCAUGGUACUACAUAAAUUAAAUAUAAGAAAGUAGUCACCAAAAUAAUGGCACGAUGCUACACAAACACUGAGGGAUAAAAGGUUGACACAAAACAGCCCUAGAAAGUUGCCAGAAAUUGAUGCACGAUGACCUCUUUGACCAAGUUUUCUUCCCUUAAAUAUGGGGUUCAUGCAUAUAUCAUUGGUCCUACUUUUGUUAAUAUAACCGAUGGCCAGACGGGCGACAUAUAUAGGUCAUAGCCGCCUGCCGGCAGUGCCAACUUUUUUUUUUCUACUAAGAUCGUAGAAGCUAUGAUACCAUGUUCAAGUCUGUGACCAUCUCAUCUAAAAGCUUAAGUUAUUAGAGGGACCACCCUUUUAUUAUUCAAUUAUAUUUUGAACACCAUUAAUUUCAUAACACUUAACCUUACAAUUACUAUCAAACCACUCCAACAAGAAAACUCUAGGUUAACAAUCAAGAACUAAAAAAUCCAACCCUUGGUCAUUAUCUUUUGUUGCCUUAACAACAAUAAACAACAACGCACUCUAACAAGAAAACUCUAGGUUAACAAUCAAGAACUAAAAAAUCCAACCCUUAGUCAUUAUCUUUUCCUGCCUUAACAACAAUAAACAACAACCAUUAGCCAACCAGACUUUGUGCCCAAAGGCCUAUGCAUGAAAUCUUUUGUCCAUCUACAAGGAUAUUAUAAAAUAAAAUAUAGGUCUAACUAUUCAGUUAAGAAAACGUAGCCUACCUGGGUGCUAAACAACUAUUGCAAAAGUCUAAUCAUCAAUGUUGACUCAUUUUGUGAAACUUUAGCUUAUUCUUGGUCUAAAAUAACUACACAAGUACAAAAUACAUCACAAUAGGCCUAAAUAUUCUCGGAUUAUAUCCAAAUCCCAAACCCUAAGCCACCCUCAUAUGAUUAUUCCACCCAAACUAGGGUUUUUCCACCAUUAAUUCACCUAAAACUACCAAUUUCAUGGUUACAGUAGUGAAUUACGAUAAAUAAAUCAAGAAUAACCUUUCUUAAGAAUAGCUCAAAGUUUUAUGAUUCUUCCCACAUUAGGAUGAAUUCAAAUUCUUCCUUGAGGCAACAAUUAUCUUCUCUAAGGCCUAGGAAUCAAACUACAAAAGUAGGAGAUCAGAUCACCUUUACGAAGAGAUUCCUGUUGAAGAAUUGCUGAAAUUUACUCUAGGUCACCCUUUCUCUUCUCCAGUCUUGGGAUUUUUCCCACCUUAGAUGAAUCCAAACCCUCCCCUAGGGCCACAAUCACCUUCUCUAAGGCCUAGGAAUCAAACUACAAAAGUAGGAGAUCAGAUUACUCACAUUUUCGAAGAUUCCUAAUAAAGAACCGUUGAAAUUUGUCCUAGGUCGACCAUGAAUACAAACCUUCUCCUAGGCCACAACUACCUUCUCUAAGGCCUAGGAAUCGAACUACAAAAGUAGGAGAUAGGAUUGCUCACUUUUACGAAGAUUCGUGAUAAAGAACUUUCUCUAAGGCCUAGGAAUCGAACGGAUUGCUCACCUUGAUAAAAAACUUAGCGGAUUGCUCACCUUUAUAGGUGCUGGGGAAUCAAGAAUAGGUUUGACUUUGACACCAUAUUAAGAAAAUUGACCAUGGGCCUAACUCAACCCGAAAGAGUUGACUCGUGAGGUAAGGAUUGCCCAAAACCAUAUAAGAAGACCACAACACAUUCCUUCAAUCAAUGUGGGACACUCUAAGAAGAUCCGUGUAGCAACCUCGGAUCCUAUUUUGAUCUCCUCUAAGUCUUGCACAAUGUUUCCUUUUGGCAACCAUCCUUUCUAUGUGAUUACAUUUUCAAUGCACACUGGCAAUGUGGAAAACCUUAUUGUCAUGACUCAAAUAUGGCACUUAGGCCGCGACAGGGCAUUUGGAGAGCUUACUACCCAUUAGGUGAACUCUAAGCUAAACAUGUAGAAAAAUAAAGGAAAAAAAAAGAAUAUACUAAUAGUCUCAACAUAUGAAGAUAAGUGCGAAAACGGAAUCCAACUACUGAGUAUGGCCAAAAAUCCCAUAAAUGGCUGAGUCAUGAAGAUACUACUUUGAAUACAAAAUAUGAGAAGUACCAAGUCUGCUUAAGAAGAAGAGGGCACCAUGAUCUAAUGGUGCACACCUCGACUGAACUUGACUGCAGAAAGCUGGAAUAAUUUAGGUACCUGCUAUGUGGUUGCCAUCUGUAGCUCAUGCACACGCCCAAACAUCAAAAGCAUGAGUCUAAAGACCCUACAAGAUUAUCGGCACACCCUCUUAGCUUACCUGUGGGGCAAGUCUUAGAUAUCUCUUCUAAUACAGAAAAGCACAUAAAGCAGUACAAGUAUAAGAAUAAUAAUACGGAUACUGAGCUAAGUCUGAAAUCAUGUUUACAUACACGUAAUGCACCCCUUCAAGCAGUGGUGUACACAGAAUCUUUUGUAAGUGGUGUCAACAUUUGAAGUAGUGAAACAAAUUACUAUAUCGACAUGAGAGAUGCUAAAAUAACUUCCUGGUAGUUGAAUUAUAUUUUUAUCACUCUGAUUUUAAAGAAAAAGCGUUUUGGCACCUUGGUUAAAUCCAAUAAAAUUUGCAAAAAAAAAAUGCGCAUGGAGCUAAUUUCAAACACCCAGCGUGCUUCUGCAAUUUCAAGCGUAAGACCAUCAGACCACGCGGCAUUGUCUGUCAAGCGGUGUCAUUCAAUAUUUAUAUAUCCGUAUUUUCACAUUGUUUAUAGGUAUAUUCAGUUUAAAAUAUUCGAUGAAGCGGUUUAGAAUGACACUGCUUCGACUAACGUGCGUCUGCUCCUGCCUUCAAGAUCUGUUUGAUACAGAUGAAUGUUGUGUUCCUCCUCCAUCCAAGGCAAAAGAAAAGCUUCUUUCCAGCGGCAGGUUAUUCAACUUCGGAAUGGUCGGAACCUUUAAAAUAUAUACCAACUCCAGCUCCUGCUUCAUCAGACCUUUAAAACUUUUUUCUCUUCUCUUUGUAUUUAUCCAAACUUUGUAUUUGAAAUGAGUUCAACUAAACUUCUUCACGUUUUUAGGGUUCAAGAUGAGAUGGAACAUGGACAAAAAUAUUAUGGUGCUUAAACUAUUCAUGUGGCUAAAACAAAAUUGUUCAUCACAUACAGGCCACAGGAAGUGGUGAUUUUCGUUGUCGGUGGGACAACAUAUGAAGAGUCACGUUCGGUUGCUCUGCAGAAUUCUACGAACUCUGGGAUUCGUUUUAUACUUGGUGGUUCUUCCCUUCUAAAUUCUAAAAGGUAUGCUCUCCCUUGUACGCCAACCAUCAUUUUAAUCUGGUAGUUCUGACUAACGUACAAUAAAGACAGUGCAUUUCAUGUACUGCUUCCUUGAUUUAGCUCGAAAAAAAUCUAUAUUCGACAUUAUUGGCUUAACUUUCACAUAUUGGGGUCCUGAAGCUUAUUUCCAUCAACUUCAGAACAUGUUUUUUGAUUGUUAUCGUAUCCCAGUUAACAUUGAACUCUUCAGAAGGUUUAUUUAGUUCUUAGCAUUCAGUUAACUGAAAUCUUUUUGUGUAAUGUAUCUGGUGGACCUGUAGAUUCUUGAAGGACCUUGAAGAAGCUCAGAGAAUCGCUCGUAUAAGCACCAAUAUGCUUUGAAUUUUGGACUCUACAGUACCUUGUGAAAAUCUGAAAAUAUAGAAUCACAGGUAAAAUCUACAUUCAGCUUGCUAUCACUGUAAUCAUUGUACAACCCUUUCAGCAGCAGUGAUAUGAUGACAAUAUCUUUCAUUUUUAGUCUAAAGGGGGAUACUUGGAUUCUGCAGAAGUACAUAAAGAGCUGAGUUUGCUGAUGAAAUUCCCAUAAAUACAUUGUGUAUCCACUGUAUCAUCUUCUUUCAUAGCUUCCGCGUCCUGCCCAAGUGAGACGGUUUUGAGACCUCCUCAUCUGUGUGCCACUUUUCAUGUCUAGAUUUGUUAUGUACAUGUAGUGUUCUCAUAUUCCUGAUAGACUUCUCUGGACUUUUAGUCUUGUAGCAUAUCUGGGAUCAUGCCCUGACUGUUAUUUGAAAUCACAGAAAGCUUACAUAUGGUACAGUACAUCUUACAGUAGUUUCUGUGAAGAUAGUUAUUAACUUUAUGUUUUGUUUAUUUUCCCCCUUUGAUAUAUUCUAAGUAGGCGAUUAACAUGCUAUUUCAUCUUGUGAUUUGAAAUCAAGAGAUGAAAUCUAUGUUUGGACGUGUGUAAUUUCAUCUUAUGAAUAAUUUCAAAUUCUCUAAAAAGCUUGAUUUGGGAAUUUUAUAUCACGAUUUCACAUUUUUCAAAUACAAAAAAUUGAUUCACAAGUUCAUAUUUUGUAAAAAAAAAACCCAUCAUUUAUAUCUACAUAAUUUUUUGCGAGAAUAUUAAAGGAGUGAGGAAAUAUUCAUGGAGUAAAAACAUAAUCAUGUAGUUACUAAUGAUGUUGGCGAAACAAAUUACUCAAUAAAUAUGGUACACUAUAACUUAGGUUCAUGUUUACUUUUUUAUUGGACCACAGUUUAAUCAAUGAAUGUUGUAUUUUUCUUCUUAGAAUAGCUUUUUUGAUAGUAUAUUAUACUUCUGUUAUGAAUUUUUAUUUAUUUGGUAAUAUAAAGAAGAGUAAAUUUUAGGUUUAGCAAAACAUAAAAAAUUAUAUUUGUAUGUUUUAGCUAUAGUUUGUAUAAUUGCGCUUCAUAACAAACUUUAUGUUUGCUAUGGAGCAUUAGAUUUGUAUAAAUCAUUAGCAGCCUCUCAUUUGUAUAAAUUGUUGGCAGCCUCUCGUUUGUAUAAAUCGCUGGCAGCCUCUCAAUUCAAUUGUAUAUAUGUAAUUACUAUGUAUAUGUAUCAAUGAUUGUGUAUGUAUAUCUGCAUAAAAUUUGAAUUUGUAUACAAUUGAAUUGAAAUAAAACAUUUGUAUAUCAAAUCUCUCUCUCGCGUGCGCUUUUUACAACACAAAUUAUACAUUGUAAUUUGUAUAAUUUGUGUUUGUAUAAAGCGAGAAAGAGAGAAAAUGUAAAAGAGAACUGGUAGGGGAAGAUCUGUAUAAUUAUAAGUGUAUAUGAUGAAAAUAUAUGUAUUUAAAAAAAAACUGACUUGGGGAGAGAUUUUAGGAGAAAUUGAAAGAAACUGGAGAGAAAAGAUAGCGAAGGGAUUAGUAUAAAAAUAAAUCUUCUGUUUUUUGAAAUGUGUGGGUCCCAAUUGAUUAAAAUAAAACUUAUUUGGGGAGAGAUUUUAGGAAAUUGAAAGAAAAUGGGAGAGAAAAAUAGUGAAGGAAUUAGUAUAAAAUAGAUCUUCUGUUUUUUUUUAAUUCGUGGGUCCCAACUGAAUGGCAAAAAUGAUGUAACAUUAGCUGCACAUUUGCUGUGAAAUGCAAAUAUAUGAAACAGUAGCUAUAGGAUUUAUUUUGAUUUAAAUGUUUGCUAUUAUGUAUCAUUUUCCCUAUAAAGAAUUGGGGUAAUUUUGAUAGUUUUCCUGAUCAAAUAAUUUUUUAGUUAAUCUGAGGUUUACUUUUUACCUUCCAACAUAUUUUGAUAACACUUUUUUUCUCUCCUGAACGUAUCUACUACUUAUAUAUAAGUGUGGAUAACCACACAGGUGGAGGUCAACAUGCCUGCUUCACCUGUGUGGUUCCACACUUGCAUAUAUAUUUGCUUACUUUUUUCUCCAUUUUAAUUUGUUUGUCUUAUUUUUAAAAUUUUUAAUAUAUUUAAAUAUCACAUAAAAAAUACUAUAAAUUAUGAUAAUUGACAACUAAAAUUAAUAUAUCCGUGUCACAUAAUCUACUACUUAUACAUAAGUGUGGAUAACCACACAGAUGGAGGUCAACAUGCCUGCUUCACCUGUGUGGUUCCACACUUGCAUAUAUAUUUGCUUACUUUUUUCUCCAUUUUAAUUUGUUUGUCUUAUUUUAAAAUUUUUAAUAUAUUUAAAUAUCACAUAAAAAAUACUAUAAAUUAUGAUAAUUGACAACUAAAAUUAAUAUAUCUGUGUCACAUAAUCUAUUACUUAUAUAUAAGUGUGGAUAACCACACAGAUGGAGGUCAACAUGCCUGCUUCACCUGUGUGGUUCCACACUUACAUAUAUAUUUGCCAAUUUUUUUCUCCGUUUUAAUUUGUUUGUUUUAUUUUUGAAAAUUUUAAUAUAUUUAAAAAUCGCAUAAAAAUACUAUAAAUUAUGAUAAUUGACAACUAAAAUCAAUAUAUCUGUGUCACAUAAAAUGGGGCAAAAGAAGUAACAUGUAUUAUUUAGUUUGAAAACUACGUAAAAAGAAUUGUAAAUCUCAAUAAUUAACGACAUAUUCACUCUUGAAAUUCUAUUUGUGCUACAUAUAUUAGGACAAGAAAAGUAACAAAUCUUAUUUAAAAAUUACGUAAAAAUUACAAUAAUUAACAACUUAAAAUAUUUAUAAAUCAUAUCAAAAUUUAAUUGACUCUCUAAAUUUUAUCUAUGUCACAUAAAGCGAGACAAAAAAAUCUACUGUUUAUAUAUAAGUGUGGAUAACCACACAUGUGGCAGUCUGCCUGCUUCACCUGUGUGGUUCCACACUUACAUAUAUAUAUUUGCCUACUUUUUUCUCCAUUUUAAUUUGUUUGUCUUAUUUUUUAAUUUUUUUAUAUAUAUAAAAAUUGCAUAAAAAAUACUAUAAAUCAUGAUAAUUGACAACUAAAAUUAAUAUAUUCGUGUCACAUAAAAUGGAACAAAAGAAGUAACAUGUAUUAUUUAAUUUGAAAACUACGUAAAAUAUAUUAUAAAUCUCAACAAUUAACAACAUAUUGACUCUUGAAAUUCUAUUUGUGCUACAUAUAUUGGGACAAUGAAAGUAAUAUAUAUUAUUUAAAAAUUACAAUAAUUAACAACUUAAAAUAUUUAAAAAUCAUAUCAAAAUUUAAUUGACUCUUUAAAUUUUAUUUAUGUCACAUAAAAUGAGAUAAAAAAAUAACAUAUUGAACCCGUAUUAGCACGUACACUUAUAUCUAGUAUAUGUAUAAAUGUCCUAUUGAGUAUGUGUAGGUUUGUUUCACUUGUACUAAUUCUUAAAAUUUGAUGAUGAUAUUUAUAAUAGUAGUAUAUAUAAAAUUCAAUGGGACAUAAUUGAUAGUUUUAUGGCUGAAAUAUGUAUCAUAACUCUAGCGUGAUAUAACCCCUAGAUAACAUUAUGAAAAUAGUUCAUGUAUAUUCCUCUAAAAUAAACUAUUUUCAUAAUGUUGACGAGGGAUUAUAUCACGCCUUUUCCUCUAAAACAAUAUCGAUUAAGGGUGUAUUUCGAUUGAUUCGGUUCAAUUUCAUCUAUUAUCGAUUUAAUUUAUCAAUUUUUAAAUAUGCUAAAUUAAUAAUCAACUAAUAAAAUAUUUUUUCCAAUUUUCAAUUUAUCAAUUAUUGGACAUUAUUUGAUUUUCGAUUUUAAUCAAAAAAAAAAUCUCAUAAAAUAAAUAUAUAACUUCUCCAACAAUUAGGCGCAACAUGACAAUAAUGUAACCUUAUAUAAUGCUCAUAAAAUAGACGUAGUAGUGACUAACCGGAAAAGAACUAUACAAGUACAACACAAUAAAAGAACUUUAACAAUAAUGUGAAUUAAAGGCUAAAUGACAAAGAUAAUACUCUUUAUGUCUCUAAUUAUUUGUUCACUUUUUCUUUUUUACUUGUCUAUUUUGACAAAUCGAGAAAGGAUAAUUUUUUUAUCUAUUAUACCCUCAAUUAAUUACUUUGAAAAAUGUAGAACUUUUUGAAAAUUUUAAAAUUUUAAUUCAUUCACUUCAUAGUUAAUAGAAGUAAAAUAGUUUUCUUAAUAGUGUGUCACUUCAAAAGUGAACAAGUAAUUAGAGAUAAAGAGAGUAUCUAGUAAGAUACCAAUAUUAAAAUUUUGAUAUUUAUAUAAAUGUAUUACUCCAAUCUUAAUGAGUUAUCAAUUUAACUACUAAGACCACCAAUAUAAAAAUUUAAUAAUAUUUAUAUAAAUGUACUAUAAUCUUAAUGGGUUAUCAAUUUAAUCAGUAAUCUAAUAUACAUGUUAACCCAAAUACCAAUAACUUAACAAUAAUAAAUCAAUUUAAAAAAUCUCGAUUUGAUUUAUUAGUCAAUUCGAUUUUUUUCACACCCCUAAUUCCGACGGAGCCCUUGCUAUAUUACGACUUUCCCCUCAAAUAAAUUCCGACGGAACUUGGCAAAAUCUCUAAUAUAAAAGAAACAAACAAACUGUUUUGAGUAUAGCAAUACUCCGACGAAUUUAGCAAUGCAAUCUUCUUCGCCGGAACUUCCGAUUAGCAGACGUUUCUUCAAGGUCAUGGUGCCUGGUUUUCACUCUAAACUUGUAAGAUACUACUGCCAUUUCUUUCUAUUUUUUUCCUAUUUUUUUUUUUUUGGGGUAGUAUCAAUUUUCUAUAUGAACGGAAGAGGAACUUCCAGAAUUAAUGGUGUUUUUGGUGGUAUAAAUUUUAUGUUAUUUUUCCAAUUUUUGUUUAAUUCACCUGGUAUUGCAGACAAUUCCACCAGCUUUUUUUCCGAAGCUAAAAGGGGAUAAAUCAGAAAAGGGGACAAUAAUAAAGGGCAAGGAUACAUGGAAUGUUGAAAUUAAUCGAUCCGAGAAGGGCAUUAUCUCGUUUGAUAAGGGUUGGGAGGAAUUUGUGCAAAAUCAUGACCUAAGAGUUGGAGAUUUUGCUGUGUUUGAGCACUUGGGUAACAUGAGUUUCAGUGUUACCCUUCUUGAUUCAACUGGCUGUGAUAAGAAGUUGUUGGAAAAGAGCGAAGUAGUACCUUCCCAGGAGAAAAAGAAAAAGGUGAAAUCUGGUCAGUCCGGAAUAGGUAAUUUCCCUAAAAUUGUUAUUUUUCCUCUAUUGGGUGUAUAAAGCUUACUAGUCAUAUUGAUUCAUUUAUAGUAAGAAAUUAUAUUCCUGCCUAAGAUCAAGUUGACACCAACCAAACACCUUACCUUUAAAAGAAACACUCUAGAUUCUUUUGUUUCACUUCCCUACAGUUGAAUCUAAUAUUCCUAAGCUGAAUUUAGAUAUAGACAAAGAUUAAAUUGUCGAUUUUAAUUUUAAAAUGUGUAUUAUGAACAGAUACGUUGUCUGAUUUAGGGACAUAUCUGUUAAGGAAAACAUGCUUGUAGUUGUACUAUUGCUUAUACUUUAACUUGGUAUAAUUGUUUUAGUACUAUUAUGGAAAUCAAUCUUGUCAAAAAAAGAAAGGUACUGUUAUGGCAAUCAAUAAAUUGAUAUGGAAUAAGAAAAGCUUCAUCUUUUGUAACAUUGUUAAAGCCAUGUCUAUGAUGAGUAUUUCAGUGAAGUGGAAAGGAGGGUAAUCUAGAGGAGUGGUCCAAUGUACAUUUCAUUUGGGUUUGAUGCUCUAUUUCUUACUUCUGUAGAGAAAAGGAAACUUGAGGGAGAUCAACCUCACUACCAGUGCAUGAAAGGAAGUUCUGAGUUUACGGCAAGAAUAAAAGAAUAUAACGUGAGAAAACGUUCUCCUUAUAUGGUGAGCUUUUAACUCUUAUUUUCUUUUAUCCAAACCUUUGACAACACAAACAAUGAAUUUUUUAUUGUAGUGCCUAAACAUAUCCAAUAUGAUCUUUUCCUAAAUUUCUUUAAUGUGCUCUUAUGACAGCAUAUACCCACAGAAUUUUGUCAGUCGAAUGCACUCUUUCAGAAUACAACCAUGACGUUAACAGGCCCGUCAGGUAAAUCAUGUCCUGUGAGUCUGAGAAUUUGCAAUGGUGGGAAGACUCUAUAUGCUUGUAUUACAAGAGGCUGGCAUGAUUUCUUUUCAAGCAACAAGCUGAAAGUAGGAGAUGUUUGCAUCUUCCAACUUGAUCGCUCAAAAAGCGACUCAAAUUCCAUUGCCAUCGAUGUUCGUGUUUUGUAGGCUGCAAACUGUUCUUUUAUCUUUAUUCUUUUGAUUUUUUACUAGUUAGUGUUACCUUGUAAACUUAUUUCACUAGGUAUAGGUUCUUUUUAUAUACUUGAUUGGCUGAUCAACAAGAAGUUGUACUCUAGCUGCUGCAGAGUAAUUAGGCAGUGUGUUAUUUGUUGAGCAGCAAAAAUGCUGAUGAAUAAGUUGCAUCAAGAAAAUAAUCUUAGAGGCAAUCCAAGCCAGAAGGAGAGAUCGAAGCUCAUUCCAACCUCUAUUUAGUGGACAAUAUGGGAAUAAAGGAACAAAAGAUGCUUUGACGAUAAAUCAAGUCAUAUCCAGAAGAUGAAGUUGAAGUGUUUGGUACUUUUGUAUUUUUGGUGUAAAGGAACAUGUGUAGAAGAUCUUGAUUCAAUUUUUGAUGUUUUAAACUCCUUCUAGAUGAUAGUGGAGCUGUAGGUUUGGUCUCUUUACAGUCCUGUAAUUAUGGAUGAUUAUACAGGCUUUGUAUAAUCUUACUAUUUGUACAAGAUAUGUUAGCUGUUUUAAAAUAAAUAAAUUAUGAGUACCAUAUUCUAACAACAUGUUCGUUUGCUAGCAGUUAUUUAGUAAAUGAUGAUGGUAGUUCAAAGCUAUCCAUAGUGUCUAGCUAUCAUCAAUUUUCCUGCCCAACAUUAUCUUUUUGUCAAUAGCUUUUUUCAAAUUUGGAAAGAUGACAUUCAGUUGAUCUUCAUGCCUGAAGCAGUUCUUGUUGGAGUUCAAACUCUUACAGUGGUUGUUGACUCGUUAUGCCUGUAAGUUCCAGACAGAUUUAACACAUUGCACCCUAUCCUAACUGUUUGCUGUUUUAUGAAGUCCGAUUUAGAGCUUGCUCUGAUUCAAUAUGCUAAUCUCUGAAGCGCAUGUUGAGGUCAGUAUUGUUUUACUUUUUCAUGGAAACUUUCAUUUAGUCUUCUUAAUUUUGUUAAAAAUAUCCUGCAUAUUUUCCUAAUUAAAUCUUGUACUUCUCUUAUUGGGUACCUGCAACUUACUGUAAAAUAUUUUGUCAAGGCAGCCCGCAAGGCUUUGGUUUAGUAGAGCUGCUAGGGGAGUGGCUCUGGGUAUAGAUAGGGUUAAAUUUGCAGGGUCAUGCAAAUACAUAGGCCCCUUCUCUUUGGGAUAAAUGGGGUAGUUUAGAAGGCGCUUUCUGAUCUACCUUUUUCUUAUGUCGCUGUCAUGUCUUGCCCCCCAAUAUAGUGACUGCUUCCAUGUUUUCCCUGAAUUUCAUCAGUUCCAGGUUCAAGGGCCUGUUCAUCCAUCUUCAUUCCAAACAAAGGUGAGCAUCUCCAGUGAAUGUAACUGCUAUGCUGCGAGCUGGUUAGAUGCGUGGAACAGAGGGCUUGUAGUACCUGCUAACGCGGCUAUGCAGUGGAAGGGAACGAGCCUAAAUUGACCCCCUUCUUUUUUUCAAGUGUAGUGCGUGAUAUGUUGAUUAGGUGCAUAUCAUGAGUAUGGACAUUGUUGUGGACGAAAUCCUUGUAUUUAAGUGGAGAAAGGUAGAAUGGCAGGCCCAUUAUCCACCACGUUUUGAACUAUGUGGUAGCUAGCCUUCGGGGAUUUCUCAGUUAUAAAAAGAAAUUGUCAAGACAUUUGGAAAUCGAGACAUCUUUUUUCACAUAAAAACUUGCAACAUUUUUGCCCAAGGUUUUUAUUUCUUAUAUAUUCUUGAUGAUUCUGAGAGUCGAAUGUUGAUAUAUAUCAACUUGCAAGUCAGCACGCCAUGACAGUUUUUUGACUUAUGUUCUUUUUGUGAUUUGUCUUUUCAGCAGGAUUGUUGAUCCUCUUGUAUUUCUAUACCUCCUUUUCUUGUUUAACUUGUCUUUAUGUCAACCCCACCAAAUAACAAAUUCAAACACAACAUUGGUGUUUAGGGGUAAAUAAUCAGAAACAUCUUCUAAUCCUUUAAGGAAUGUGCAAAUCUUUGCUUCUAUCACCUUACCGUUUGAGAUAAAUGUUUGUAUUCACCCCGAAAAAAGAGAGUAAAUGUUUGUAUUCGAUGGGUGUUUUCUUGUUGUAUUCUUUGAGUUGUUGAAUCAGUAGGCUCUUUAAUAAGAGAGUGAUGCUUCAAUUGGUUGAGACAAGGUUGACCUUGGUUGGUGGCAGUUAAACGUUUUACGUGUUUGAAUAUCGAUCAAAUAUGAAACCAAUUUCUUUCCCCUAUAAAUGGAAGAACUAUACUAUGUAAUGCUGGGAAAGCACUUGAAAGGUUUAGUGAUAUAUUUGCUUUAGCAAGGUUUUCCACACUCCCGUGUAUAGUUAAUCUGGCUGUUGUAGAUGCAGCUUAUUCCUAGUGUAUCACUUACUCUUUCCAUCAUUUUCUAGGGAUUAUCCAUGGCAUAAUUUCUUUAGUAUCUUUCUUAUUGUGUUUCUUAGCUAUGGGUGUCGUAGUAUAUUAUCUGCUCUCCACCUAUUCUCUUGUCUUUUUACUACCAGUUGCAUUCUUUUGUGUAGGUUAUGAGGAAAACAACGAUAGGGAGGAAAGAAUAUCAGUUAGAAAGCAUGUUUCUUACCUGUAUUUACAUGUAUGGCGGCAGUAGGCAUUGUUCAUACACAUGUAUAUGUGCAACUGGCGAUAAUAGGUAAGUAUGCUUUUCCUUGCAUCUUCCAUUUGAAGCAACGAUGCACUAAGAAUUUAAAAAUUGUGAAGUGUUGAGCGGAUUUUAGAUUUUGACUAAUUUAUGGGCAUUAAAUCAUCUAGCUGACAAUGGCAUGUUAACUGCUAUGUAACCUAAGGAUAGCAGAAUGAGAGUCUUGGGUCUCUAUGUAAUCUAUAUAUGUGUAUGAUCUAUUGAACCUAGAGACAUGCCCGCUGCAGUGUUGUCUUGGAGAGCUGGAAGUACGUUCUCUAAGUGUCAGGACAUAAGCUGAGUGGGUUCUUUCAGAAAUACCUCCUUCCAGGUGACUAAUGAGACUGACGCUCUAGUUCAAAUUUCAGCUGAUUUUAGUUCCCUAGUUGAAAUACCUUCUGAUAACCAUGUUACAUUGACUUCAUAACGAGCGCGUAAUUAAUUGUGUACUAUGGGCUGCUACCCUCAGAAACCUGGUAGUCCGUUGCUUAUGGUGCUGGGCUAUGGGUUAAACUUACCUACUGGUGGGGUGUAUUAGGUGCCAGCAUGACCUGAGAAAUCGGAUCAUGACAGUUUAUAUAUCUUUAUGUGGAUAUUCUUUACCAUCACUCUACUAACCAUCAUCAGUUGUAACCACCUAUUGUCAUAACCAUCACUACCACAAUUGUCAACCACCAUUAUUGUUGUCAAUCGUUAACCACCACUUGAAACCACUAUCACGGUCAGUCACUACUAUCAAUCGCUACCAUACUUACUAUCUCCAUAGUUACAAUUAGCAACAUCACCAUUUGUCACUAACAUAUCGUUAAUCUAUCACCACACAACCAUCACCAUUAACACAACCAAUUAUUAACAUAUAACCAAUUUUAUCAUCCCAACCACUUAACUAUUACCGAUUGUGAUUUGUGACUUUCACAUCAAUCACUACAAUAAAAAUUAUCUCUACUGUCAUAACUAUCGUCAUCAUCAUUAUUAGCCAUUAACACUAAUAUAACUUUAAACAUUUAAAUAUUCAUUCAGAUUCAAAAUCUUCACAACUAUCGUCAUCAUCAUUAUUAGCCAUUAACACUAAUAUAACUUUAAAUAUUUAAAUAUUUAUUCAGAUUCAGAAUCUUAAUCUUAACAAAGAUAAAAUGAGGCCUAAAUGUCCAUGCAUAGGGUAAAGAUAGCAUAUGCAUUGUGAAGCAAACCAUUAAUGGAAAUAUGCUUAUGAAUGAGCAAGUGAAAAUGUUCAAACGUGUUUGACGGAUUUUUACUGUUAGUACGAAAAACACAUUUUAAUCGUUUUAAUUCAUGUACUAGAUAUAUUUAAAAUAAAAGAUAAUGUUAAUAAUUUUUAUGAACCGAUAGAUUAACGGAGAAUAUAUAUAAGACAAAUUUGGUCAUCCAGGUGAUUAAGUGCAUGUAUUUUAGUUUAUCACAAGUUUAGUCAUGUUCAUUGUUGUCUUUUAGUUGUUCUAGAUGGUUGAUUAAUUAAGUAUAGUUCAUACAUCUAAGUCUAAUAAUCACUUGUGAACCUAUAAAUACCGCUCUUAUAUAUAAUGAUUUAUUAAGUAAAAUUAGAAUAGUUCAUUAUGUUAUAAUGUGUGAACGUGAUGUAAUCUAUCUUUUUCAUCCUUUUUGUGCAUUAUGAUGUGAUAAAACCUAUGUAUAUUUGAAAUCGAUAUAUAUUAUUUUUUGGUAUAUAUCUUCUUUGAUGUUUAUUUGAAUUCGAAGUAUUCUGUUUGAUUUCUUAUAUUAAUAGUGCAUUCAACUUACUAUUUUAUAAUUUUAAGUUGUUUUUUCCGCCACAAUUUAAGUACAACAAAUUCUUCACAUUAGCAUUCUUGAAUUUGUUUGAGGCUAGUGGAUCAUCUAGUUUUGAAUGUUAAAUUGAUUUGGAAUCAUCUAUAAAUUAAAGUGCAAUACAAAUCAUAGCUCAAAGUUGAAUUAGAUGGAAACAUCUAUAUAAUUGCAUUGGAAGAAAGCUUUUUCUAUGGUUUUUAAUUAGUGGCAAUUUUUUAAUUAAAAAGAUAAACGCGUACACUUUUGAAAAAAAAAAAAAUUGUAUCAGUGGUAGUAAAGUUGUGUGACAAAUUAAAGGUGGAAACUGACUUGAGUCAAAAACAAUAAUGCAUUAUUUAUCUCACUGUAUGUAUAUAAAGAUUGACUACAAGCUCCUAGCUAAAUAAUAUAUGAAGUACCAACAAUUGCUUAUUGCUUUCUGCUUCUAUUCAUUUGUUAUAUUUUUUGUCCAGCAAUCUCAGCUCACAUAUGCUGGGCAACAUCUCUGUGCCCGCGAUGACGCUUUUUAUUUGCUUCAAUUUAAGAAAGGCCUCACAGUUGUUGAUCAAAAUAUACAUGACUGUGACAAUGAGACCCGAGCCAAGACUUUGUCCUGGAAUAUUACAAGAGAUUGUUGUCAAUGGGAUGGUGUAACUUGCAAUGGAUUUACGGGUCAUGUCAUAGGCCUCGAUCUUUCUUGCAGCAUUCUUAACCAGACCAUCAAUGCUAACAGCAGCCUCACUAAACUUGGUCAUCUCCAAAGACUCAACCUUGCCUUCAGCCAGUUUGAUGACGACAUUCCAGUUGGAAUAAGUGAACUCAGUAGUUUGACACAUCUCAAUCUUUCGAAUACUGGAUUUAAUGAAGGGGAGAUACAGAUUCCACCAGGAUUAUCCAAGUUGUCUAAGUUGGUUUCACUUGACCUCUCCUCGAAUGACUUCCAAGUUGGCCGAACAACCUUCAGAAGUUUGCUUCAGAACUUAACCAAUUUGGAGGUACUGUUGCUUGACAGCGUGGACGCACCAUUUGAGUUACCUAAGAAUUUUCCUUCUUCCCUUAGGUACUUAAUUCUUCAAGACACCAACAUGUGUGGGAACAUAAGUGAUUCUCAGCUUUUUCAUCUACCAAACUUGCAAGUGCUGAGAAUGGGAUGGAAUCCUUUAUUAACAGGCACUUUGCCUAAUUUCAAUUGGAGUUUCAGUACAAGGAUUUUAGAGUUGGACUUUUUCUAUACUGAUAUUUUUGGUAAGGUACCUGAUUCAAUCGGCAACCUCCGUUCUCUUUGGUAUUUAGAUCUCUCUUUAAACCGUUUAUCCGGCUUGAUUCCAGUAUCCAUUGGCAACCUCAGUGGAAUUAGAGUGUUGAGACUUUCAAGUAACAGCUUCACUGGUAAUGUUCCCUCAACUAUCUAAAAAUUAAACAAACUCGUUGAUUCCAGUAUCCAUUGGCAACUCCUCAUUUUGUCUCGGAACAAUUUCAGUGGUUCAAUCCCAGGAUGUUUGGGUAACUCCAUUCUUGUUUUAGACUUGCGAAUGAACAAUUUUUAUGGAGAAAUACCAAAAUUCUUACCUAUAGGGUUACAAUAUCUUGGUGUGUAUGACAAUCAGUUGGGGGAACAAGUCCCACGAUCCUUGGUUAACUGUACAAGCUUGGAAGCUCUUGAUUUGGGGAACAACAAUAUAAAUGACACGUUCCCGUAUGGCUGGACAAACUUCCAAACCUACAAGUUCUGAUUCUGAAAUCAAAUCUCUUUCACGGUUCAGUUGGUGAUUUGGAUUCCGAGUUUCCAUUUCCUGAGUUACGGAUCUUUGACCUUUCCGUUAAUGGGUUCACUGGAACUUUUCCAACUAGAACAAUUUCAGUGGUUCAAUCCCAGGAUGUUUGGGCAACUCCAGGUUUCCAUUUCCUGAGUUACGGAUCUUUGACCUUUCCGUUAAUGGGUUCACUGGAACUUUUCCAACUAAUAUUUUCAAAAGUUUCAGAGGUAUGAUGGAUGUGGAUGAAGGAAAAACAGGAAUUACUCUAGCUAUUAAUAGGACUCACAGAGAUUACCUUUACCAUGUUAGUUUGGUGAUAAAAGUCAAUGAGUUUGAUAUGAGAAUCACGUCAAUUAUGACGAGUGUUGAUUUAUCAAGCAACAGGUUCGAAGGAGAUAUUCCAAAUUCCAUUGGAAGUCUGAGCUCACUUGUGUUACUCAACCUGUCUCGCAACAACUUCCGUGGUCAUAUUCCUGCAGAAAUUGCAAAGUUGCUGCAGCUCGAAGCAUUAGAUCUCUCGUGGAACAGACUCAUUGGAGAAGUUCCUGGUCAAUUGUCGAGUUUGACAUUUCUUGAGGUCUUAAACCUUUCAUACAAUCAUCUGGCUGGGCGCAUUCCUAUUGGGAAACAGUUCAAUACAUUUCCAGAUGAUUCAUAUUGUGGAAAUCUUGAUUUAUGUGGAUUUCCACUAUCAAAGAAAUGUGGAAACAAUAAUAGGCCAGAUGAGUCAACACUUGAACAAGAUGAUGAAGAUUCAUUUUUUGCGAGCGGGUUCACAUGGGAAGCUGUGGUAAUAGGUUAUGGUAUGAUAUUUGGAUUGUUGAUGGGAGGCCUCAUGUUCCUACUGGAAAAACCAAAAUGGUUUGUCAACUUUGCUGAAGAUAUUUCUCAACAAAUUGCUGCUAAGAAGCGAAGAAAUCAAAAGAAGAGACGUCAAGGGCGUGGUCUAAGAAUGAAUUAGCAAUAUACCAGGUAUGCAUCAAAACUUUUUGUUUUGUAUCAGGAACAACACUAUUUUUGUAGCUGUUCAUUGUAUAACUAUAUGUCAAUUGUUUAUUUUUUCCUAAAUAUUCAAAAACUCAGAAAAGUCAUUAAGUCCUUUAAUUUUCAAUUUGUCUCUGCAGAAAGGUUGCUGGAGAGUUGGACACGUUUAUUAGCAAGUUAGUGUUGAUGUUCUGGCAAAAUAUCAAUGGAUGCAUCUGUUUUUCACUUUAUGUACAUGGUUGUCAAAUACAUAUGUUACAGUUGAUUUCUGUAGUUUCGUGGCUUCAGAGAUAGCAACCUCUAUACUCUUGUAUGAUGGUUGUGUCCUAAUGUAUCGUAUUAUUUUAUAUUGAUGAUUUUCCUUUAAAUUGGGUGAAUGUGAUGUGCAUCUCAUUGGUGCACAAGCUGUACUUGUGAGCUAAUAAGAUUGUCUUUACUAUUAACAAAAAAAUGCAUUACUAAGGUUUAAUGAUCAAAGUACAGACUUCAGUCUCUAGAGAUCCCUUCACCUGACUGAAACCAAGUGUUAGGAAGCACGCUUCUGAACUUAUGCAGCUAACUAUACUCAUGAUGCUGUCAUUUCUGCAGAGGCGGAGCUUGGUGGGGUUCGUGGGUUCGGACGAACUCACUAGCUUUUCUGUAGACUCUAUAUUUGUAUUAAAAAAUUAAAUAAACACAUAUGUAUAUUAGAAAAGGGUCAAAAUUACCCUUGAACUAUGUGAAAUAGACCAUUUAUACCCUCCAUUAUAUUUUGGGUUCAAAAAUACCCUGUCGUUAUCCCAAGAGACCACAAAUACACUCAAUAUUUAACUACCCAAAUUUUUAGUGACAUGGCAAGCCACAUGGGACUAAACCCUCCGCCUAAGUGUUGCCAACUAGGAUUUACUUCAACAAAAUUACACCUUUAGCUGCGACGAUUGUCGCCACAAAAUUCCAAAAAUAUUGCCACUAAAGAUUUUGAGUGAUUUCAAGUGGCGACUAAGACUGCAAUAUCCAUUCGCUAGUAAAACCUGUUAUUUCAACAAGAAAAUAUGAUAAUUAAUUUUCGGUUGAAGCCUAAUUUUCUAAAAUAAAUAACAUGUACUAUCAAUAUUAAAAACAUCCAAUAUUAUUACGAAAAUCAUCAAAAUUACUUCUCGACUCAAAUCUCCUAUUACAUAAUGCAUUAUUGUACAUUUUAUGCAUCUACAUAUGACAUUAAUAUAAAACAUAUGGUGUCUUCAAACUCCUCCUGGAUCAAUAUCUUUUGAGAUUUUUUAAAAAUAAUGAAGAAAAAAACACAAAAUCAUAAUUUAAUGCUAAAAAUCAAUGAAAAUCUCUAGUGACGAUAUGUUGGGCUUUUGGCAACUAUUGUCGCUGCUAAAGGUCUAAUUUUUUUUUAGUAAAUCCUAGUUGGCAACACUUAUGUGGAAGGAUUAGUCCCACGUGGCUUGCCACACCACUAAAAUUUUGGAUUGUUAACUCUUGAGGGUAUUUGUGGUCUCUUAGGAUAACGAUGCGGGCAUUUUUUAUCCCAAAAUAUAAAAAAGGAUAUAAGUGAUCUAUUUCAUAUAAUGCAGGAGUAAUUUUCACCUAUUCCGUUUUCUUUAAUUAGGGAAGUAGAUUAUUCUUAUUCUUUAAUUUUUGGAAAAAAUUAGACCAAUUGAACAAAGUAAUAUUAUACUAGCGAAUAAAAUUUCAUGUAAUAACUCAUUUGUAAGAGUAUACUUCUUUUGUUCAUUUUUAUUUCAUAAUGAGUUUGCAUGUCUUUAAAAAUAAAAAAUAAAUGAAGUGCAUAUUUUACUAUAACUCUAAUAUUAAUGAAAUAUAAUCUUAAAUUAUGAGGAGUGAUUUAGAUAAUUAAUAAUUACUAUUAAAUGUAAAAUAUAUAUUUGUUUUUUGUAUAUGCUUAAGUGAACUAUUUUUAAUAUAAUGAAUAAAUAAAAAUGAAUGAAGAAACAUAUAACAUUUAAUUGUCAUAAUUUGUAUGGAAAUAAUAUAUUAAAACAAACACAUUUGCAAUAUAGUUGAUUAAAUUAAUCAAUUCGUGCGGUGUAGAGGCAUAUUUAGAAGAAAAACGCUUUGUAUCAAAGAUUUUUUCAUAUUCAAGAGUCAAGACUCAAAUUUGAGAUUCCUAAUUAAUGAAGAUGUUACUCAUCAAUCAUCAACCACACCAUAUCCUUUGUUGAUAUGAUAUAUUUAAUUGGUUGUUCCAAAAUUGAAGUGUCCUAAUUUUCUUUUUUGUUUCUCACCCGGUAUUUGAUACACACAUUGAAGUCUAAUUAAAUUCGGAUUCAUACCGAAAAGUCCUUAAGAUCAUAAUCCUUAAUAAUUAAGCAAUCAAACAAACAAGUCACCUCACAAUAUAAUCAUGACGUGUAACCUUAAAAACUAUCCUACGGCCAUGCAAUCACGCUUACGUGGACAGCUUAGAGCACGUAUCCCUAUAAAAAUUAAGCAUUUGCAACGUGACUCUAAAGAUACUGACCAUAGUUCACUAUAAACCGUUCGAUGAAUCGUCCCCACAAAUUGAACGGUUAGAUACUCAUCUGUAAUACGGAAAAGUAUACACCCGGCUGUCACUUUAAUGGCAUUGGUUUCUUAAGUGUACUCUCGAAUUUCAAUUUUCGCCCAACCCAACUGCCGAAGCAAAGCUAAAAACGAGAAAUAAUAUGCAAAUGCAAUACGCAACUCUUGAAGAGCACCUGCCAUUCAAUUCAAAAUUUCUGGAGAAAAAUUGUUAGAUCAAUCUGUCUUUCUCCUUACGAUUUUUGUUUUACAGCAUUGUUUGUUGUUGUUGUUUUUCAAUCUUCAUUCAGGAAGAAGUAUGAAGAAUUGUAAAGUAUCGAUUGUAACUUCCCUUUCGCGACACUCUUGCUACACUUUCUAGGGUUCGUUCUAACUUUUCCCUCUUUUUUUUUUUUGUAUUUUUGCUUCUUUUCUGGUUACAGUUUGCAGAUGAACUUUUUUUUUUAUGGAAAGUUUUAUGUGAGAAAGUCGAAGAAGGUUGUGGGAUUAGCGAUUACUUUGUAUGGUAGUUUUGUGAUUGAUGAAAGCUGUUUGGUAGAUAAUUAAUUGGUGUUUUCUGGUGCUUUACUUGGCUAUGUACUUGGAAACUCCCUUUUUGCCAAUUGAAAUGUUGGAAUGGUCGUGUUUUGGCAAUUCCACCUUUUCCUUUUAAAACUUAGUUUAUAUGUGAUAUAAAUCGAAAGAGGUGGAAUUUACUUGUCUGCUGGUUUGUUAAUUGUUGGAGUGGUUUCUUUUCUAGGUUUAAUUUGAAGAAGGUGGUGGGAUUAGUUAUUACUUUGUAUGGUAAUUUUGUGAUUGAUGAAAACUGUUAGGUAGAAAAAUUAAUUGGUGUUUGUGGUGCUUUACUUGUCUAUGUACUUGGAAACUCCAUUUUUGCCAAUAGAAAUGUUGGAAUGCCCAUGCUGUGGCAAUUCCACCCUUUCCUUUUAAAACUUAGUUUAUGUGAGAGAAAUCGAAAGAGAUGGAAUUUACUUCUCUGCUGGUUUGUUAAUUAUUGGAGUGGUUUCUUUUUUAGAUUUAAUUUAUGUAAGACACUUCAAAAGAGGUGGUGGGUUUUAUAUGUAUGCUUAUUGGCUUUUUAAUCCGUUGCUAUUCUGGAGAAAGCCAUGUUCCUUGUUUAUUUUGUUUGGGUUAUCUGGCUCAUAUGGUCAUUUGGGAUAGUUUGGACUAUGUUAUACAUUCUUUUUGAUUAUUUUGUUUGGGUUAUCUGGCUCGUCUGGUCAUUUGGGUUAGUUUGGACUAUGUUUUACAUUCUUUUUGAUUAUUUUGUUUGGGUUAUCUGGCUCGUAUGGUCAUUUGGGAUAGUUUGGACUAUGUUAUACAUUCUUUUUGAUCAGUAAGGACUAUGUUUUAAACAUAGUGAAGUGCAUAAUGAGUUCUUGAACCCAUUUACUGGGAACUAAAUGCAUAGCUAUUUAAAGGGUUCGUCGUGACGUCUGUUAUGGCUCGAUAUGUUCUAUUUUGGUAUUAGGUGGAGUAGCUCGCUUGGUUUCCCUAAAAAUAAAUAAAUGGAACGCUGUUUUCUUUUAAAUUCAUCAUCAGACCUGUCUUGGAACAUAAGGGUCUUAUCAAUUUCCUUUUUAUCUGUUUGGGUCAGAAAGCAUUUAGGUACUCAAGCCUGCUUGAUUCUGGGUAUUUUGUUUUUAUGAAGUCCAUAAUAUGAAAAUUCUUGAAGUUUAAAUCAUUGAAGAUCAUUGUGGUGUAGUGGUGGAGUUGUACAUCUAGCUGGAUUUUGAUUUUCAUAGAUCAUGGAUGACUCAAAUAGUAGAUUGUACUGUCAAGGAGAACUUCUAGAGGAGAGGAAUAAGAAUAAUGAUGUGUGUGCAGCUUAAGGAGCUUGGAAUUUAAAUAGAGAAAAUUGGACAUGAUGCUCUCUGAAGCAUAAUAAAAUCUAGUAUAACCUUGAGUAUCAUAUACACCGUUUAUAUCUUUUUUUCCUCUCCUGUGAACUUAAGGAGACUUCUACAUAUGGACAAAUAAUCUUAUUUGUGAAAGAUAGGUGAAACAUUCGAAUAUUGAUAGUUCUUGAGUGUUCAUUUCACCUGGCCGAUUGAUGUGUGAAUAUUUGGUUUAACAGUGCUAGUUGGUACAUUAAGUGAUAUCAAUCGGGUUACUUGAAGUAAAAACAAGAAAAUAACAACAACAUAUCUAAUGUAAUCCCACAAGUGAGUGUGGGGUCUAGGAAGGGAAGGGUAGGGUAGAGAGGUUGUUUCCAAUUAGACAAUAAGGAAAUAAUAAGGAAGCGAAAAAUAAGAAAGAUUAAAGACUAGAGGUUGUUUCCAAUUAGACAAUAAGGAAAUAAUAAGGAAGCGAAAAAUAAGAAAGAUUAAAGACUAUAAAAAUAAGAUAGACGAGAUUCGAGAAAUAAAUUUCAGAAUCUCCAAAGUAAUGACUAAGAACACUAACUAAUUGUGGUAAACCUAAUUAGCAGAUUAAGGAUAAUAAUAAAUAUAAGGCUAAAUGAAGAACACUAAUUGAUUGUAGUAAACCUAACUAGUAGAUUCAAUUCAAGAACUUAGAUGAAGUGAUCUAGAUCCCUAAUUGAAUAUUAAGGACAAUAAUUAAUAUAAGACUAGUUACCUUUUUUUGAUAACCGAGAAUCCAUCUAUGACCCGUCCUUUGGACCAAUCACAGCCUUCUAAACUCGGUGGAUAAUGGGCCCGCCCCUCUACCCUUCUCCACUUAAAUACCGGGCUUCGCUUUGCAUGGUGUGGGGGCUUGAACCUGCGACCUAAGCCACAAAUCCUCCACCUUUUGCCACUCGAGCUAGGCCUUGGAGGCUAAGACUAGUUACCUUCUUCAAUUAAUCAAGUAAGAACCACAAAUAUCAAGCAAAAAAGUAUCUUAUCUCUUAAAAGAAUCAUUGUCGUAUGGUUGUAAGAUAAACCUCAAGUAACCAAUACUGAAAGGUUUAAAGAAAAGAAAACUCAAUAAUAUUACGAAUGUUGUUCCUUACUUUUGAUGUAAUCACUUCAGGAGCACACUAUUGGUGUACUUCUCUUGUUUAUAAUACCAGUUAACCUACUCAAAAGAAUAUUAUGAAUGUUGUUGUCUAAGAGAACAAAAUCCACCACCAUAUAUAGGGGGAAAUCGUCCAAUGCUAGCGCAAAUAGCAUGAGACUGGAAUCCUACUUUUUAUGGAAACAAUAAGUAUUAAAACCUAACAAGAAAAUUUUGAACUUGGAAACUUAUAAAUUAGGAAAGCAUGUAAAAUUAGUAUCAUGCUUUUUUCCAAAACUACCUAACAAAAAGUAAGGAAAGAAGUGCAAAUUUUGCACCAAAAACUCACGCCCAGGCACUCGAAUUUGGGUAUGAAUUCCAUCUUUUGGGCGUGAUUCUCAAUCUAUUGUGGACUUCAUUUUCAGCUCCCUUGGGGUUUAUGUGGGCCCCGAUCUUCCUCCUCUUGGGCUUGGACCAUGAAAUACGUGUAACACGUAGACCACUCUUCCCCAUAGUUUUCUUGCACUCUUCUUCCACGAUAAGCAUCGUCUUGAUCCUCCAUUGAGGUUCAACAAUGUUGUUUUGCAUCUCCUUAGCUUCCAACACUUCAUGUAAGUCCUUUAAUGGAGGUAUGCGGUAUGCCAGCAUGGAAGCUAUAGUAUGGUUGAACUCUGCAUGUAUUUCUCGUAUCUGCUUAAAUAGUAACCUCAAACAAGGGAUUUAGGGUUAGUCCUUUUUGUUUGUCAUGUCUUUAUGAAGUAAAAGAUUUUCCAUAAUCCAAAAGCCUGGUCACGAUCCUAGCAAGUAGAAACAUGGAGCACAAGUACUGGCUUUUCUUGAACAUGUCAUGCUGAAAAGAUAUGCAUUUAACUUUGCUUAUUGAUGUGCCAAUAUAUGGCUAAUAAUGGUUGCUGUUACAUUACGGAAAGUGAACUGAUGCAUCUGUAUUAUCUGGUAAAAUGUUGACUUUAAACAGUGGAUCUUGGGUUACACCUUUCUAUUGGCCAUGGUUCUAUGAGAUAAAGGGAUUUUUUGGAAUCUGAAAGCUGAUAAAAAUAUCUAGCAAGCAGAGAAAUUUAAAAAUGAAGAUCCUGUCUCUAUAGUACAUGUCAUACUCAAAAUAUUUACAUUGCAAUUGAGGAUGUUAUUCUUUCUUCUUUUCUUUUAUUUCUCCCAUAUCAUCUUAUUGGUAAUAUCGUAGUAGUCAUGCAUAAGUUUUUCCGUCUUACAUUCAAAUGUUUGUGGCAGGGUUCCCGAAGGCAGGAUAUUGAGAAUUUGAUCCUCCUCAUUCGCCAUCAGUUUUUUAUGGAUAUGAAGUAUUAUGCGGGAUCCUUCUGAUGCCCACAUGUCUGGUUCAUGGUUCUGUUGGAGAGAACUAAUUGAAACUGAGGCAACCUGCCUUAUAUAAGUUCGUUUGGGAAGGAAGCUAAAGUGAUUAAUUUCUAUCUUCGGUGGCAUGGAAGCUUGUGCUUGAGUUUUGAAUCAUCCUGAUUGUGGGCCAUAUUUCUAGAGAUUCUGAGAAGCAGCAUCUUAAAAUGGGAUGGAGGGGAAUUUUAGUCUCGUUACUAUUUUCCAUCACUUUGGGUGAAUCAUCAAGCAAUUCUAGAAAAAUGUGGUCGCUGAAGAUAGUUUCAGAAUCAUCUCCACUUUAUAGUUGGGCUGUAUACAGUGCUGGAUUUUUUGUACUGGUGGCUGUUGUCCUGUCUAUGUAUCUAAUUGUUGAGCAUCUAGCUGCAUACAAGCAGCCUGAGGUUUUUGCUUACACCUGUUCAAUCUUCUUGAAGUUAUUUUUUACUAGCAUACAUCAUUUGAUCCUAUGGGCUGCUGAUCUUUUCUUUUUGGAUCAGUUUGUGGGGCUUGAUUGAAUACAUGCUUGUAUUGUUAUUUUUGUACAGACAGUCGUUGUGGCAUUUCUUAGCUUAAUUGUCUUAGAGAAACUGAUAAGACUGAAUUAUUUCUUACCACAGGAGCAGAAGUUUUUGAUUGGACUGAUCUUGAUGGUUCCUGUUUAUGCAGUGGAAUCGGUAAGAGAACCUUUAGCUUGUAUGCUAGCAUUUUCUCCAGUUUAUUUGGAAGUGAUCUUUAAAGUUUGUUAUAAACAUAUUGAGACAUUGGCGGUUAUUAUUAUUAUUAUUUGAAAUAAAUCUCUCUAUGGACAAGCAGAGAAAAUACGACCUACCAAAAGUACCAGUUAUGCUUACAAAGACAGUAAAAGAAGGGCUAAGAUAAGAAAUGCAAGUCACUUUAGGUUUUUGUCAGUUCUGCAUUUAGGUAUUUUUUAUUAAAGAAAAGAUCAGUUGGUAACUUACUGUGACUUUGAUAAUGUAAAGCUCCUACGGCGAACACUUGAUAUGUUUGUGGGCGAGGAUUGGAUUUUGUGAUGCCUCUGGAACAGAAUUCAUGGCUCACUGUUUAUUCCAGUGUUGGUUAAUAUUGUUUCUUGGUCCACAAUAAUUUCUGAGCAAUCGCCACAUGAUUCAUUUCUCAUGAAAAAGAACUGAUGAACAAAACAUGUAUUCUUUAUUCAGCUAAAUACAAAUGAAAGCCUUAACAAAUGGUUAAACUACCAAUUAAACAGGGGAAAACUUAGAUAAAAGGAACCAGAUAAAGUAUAUGAGGUGGUGCAGAUGCUCUAGCAUAGCAUAAGUUCCAAAAAAGGAAAAUUUCAUAAAAGAAUGGAUGAAAAGGGUUAUCUGUAUUUUCCUUGUCAUAAAAAGUUGAAGGAAUGGAUGUAAAGGGUAAAAAUGUGGUACUUGAAGUUAAAAUUGACUUGGGUGCAUCUUCAACAACCUAUAUGUCUAAUUUUACAGUAUUGUCAUCACCCUAAAUUUAACAAUAUCAUGUUGUCUUUCUUUAUGUUUAUGAUUCAGUAAGGGUUCUUGUUGAAUGUUUGACCAGUUCUUUGCAUUUACCUGACAGUUCUUAUCUUUAAUGGACUCAAAUGCCGCAUUCAACUGUGAGAUCAUACGUGAUUGUUAUGAGGCUUUUGCACUAUAUUGCUUCGAGAGGUAUCUAAUAGCCUGCUUAGGUAUGUCUUCAGCCAUAGGUUGUUGCCCUCUUCUCCUAUUUUAAGUUGUCCCUUGGAAAAAUCCCACCUUGAAAAUUUUAAAUGCUUCAGUUACCAGCUUAGAGUCUGCUAGUGUAACUAUAAUUGUGUUCAUUAUUCGCACAACCUUUUCCAAAUGUUGCUCCAUCCAUGUUGCUUUUGCAUCUUAUGUCACAAUGGAGUUGUAUGGUUUUCUCAAUUCUCCGUACUCCUCUACUGGUAUAAAAUUAUGCUAGCUUCUUUUCUUUUAGAAGUUCCUUUCUUUAAAGAUGAUUCUCAUUUGAGCUACAUGACAUAGGUGGAGAGAAAAACACCAUCGAAUUUAUGGAAAGUCAAAGUGUUGUAAGUUCCAGCUUGCCUCUGCUGGAUGAUGCCUAUGCAUAUGGAGUUGUUGAACAUCCUUUCCCAUUGAAUUGCUUUAUCAGGGAGUGGUAUCUUGGUUCUGACUUCUAUCAAGCAGUAAAAAUUGGGAUAGUGCAAUAUGUAUGUGCCCCUCUAGUAAUUUGCUAUGGAUUUUGACAGUUCCGUCAAGUUUCUAUGUACUGAAUAAUUAAGGAUUUCCUUCCAGAUGAUACUUAAGAUGAUAUGUGCUUUACUGGCUGUGAUUUUUCAUCUUUUUGGCAUCUACGGUGAAGGCAUAUUUGAGUGGAGAUAUGCGUAAGUCAACCCAGGUUUUCCUUGAUACUUCAAAGAUAUCAGUAUUUGUUCUACCUGUUUUGUGACUCUUCUACUGCAGAUCUCUAGCCGAGCCUCUGGAUUAAUUGAAUUUAUGUCAUAUAUUGGAUAUGUCAUGAAAGCAGAAGCUUUUCACAAUGUUAAUCUGAGUGUUAAUUCUUGCAGCUAUCCGUACUUGGCAGUUGUUCUUAAUUUUAGCCAGACGUGGGCCUUAUAUUGCCUUGUGCAGUUUUAUUCAGUCACCAAGAAUAAAUUAGCACCGAUUAAGCCGUUGGCGAAGUUUCUGGUAUUCAAGUCAAUUGUAUUCUUGACGUGGUGGCAAGGUAUAGCUGUUGCCUUUCUUUUGUCGUUUGGAACAUUCAAAGGUUCUUUGGCGCAGCUGUUGAAGACACGGAUCCAGGACUAUAUCAUCUGUAUUGAGGUCAGUUGUGUUUAUUGAAUCAGUUUCGUACACUUGUCAUUGCUUGAUCACUAUUUCUUGUGCCAACAGAGGCUCAUGAAUAGAAAUGAUUUAUUUUGGCAUGGGAUAUGUGCUAACUUUUGGUUUUGCAUUGACGACCUGCUGGAGUAUUCUGGCUAUGAACUUCAGUGUAUUUAAGUGAAGGCAUAGUGUUCUUGAAUAUUCUAGCUCUUUAUGCCUCUGCCGUUCUCGAAAUUGAGUUGUUCUAGAAUUAGUGAAGGGUGGGGGGAGGGGAGUGGCAACUUAAAAUUAAUGACAUUGAGAGCUGGAUCACAAAACGUACCUAAGUAUUGGACUUGUACAUUUAAGUUGUUUCAUGGAACAGCUGUCCACAUGAUAUAUUUUGAGCUGCACUCAUAGGUGGUACUUGGCUGCUGAAGUUGACAUUUAAAAGUAUAACUUGUUUGUGAUGCAGUACCAAAAAAUCUAGUGGAGCAAAGAUAGGAAGAAGAAUAGUUAUAAAGUGAGAAAGUAUCAUUCAAGCCUUCUAAAUUGUUAAGAAUGACACUUGGGCCUAACUCAACCCCAAAAACUAGCAUGAGGGAGGUUUGCCCAAGUCCAUAUAAACAGACCACCAGUCCAUUCCCCAACCAAUGUGGAACUCCCACUCACUUUAACAUCCCUUCACGCCCAGACCCAAACUAGAGUGUGGACCAGGAGCUCAAACAGGGGUGGACCUGACUAUGAUACCACGUUAAGAUAUGACACUUGGGCCAAACUCAACUCCAAAAGUUAGUACAUGACGGGAGGUUUUCCCCGGUCUAUAUAAAUAGACCACCAGUCCACUCCCCAACCAAGGUAAUACUCUAAUCCACUUUAACAUAAACAAAGUACAUGAUGGGGAUCCUAUUUGUAGAAUAUUGAAUUCUAAACAAUUAGCACUCUUAGAACUUCAUGAGAGUCCUUCUUGAUGCCUCUCAAUGAUAUCUCUCUUUAUUAAAAAAACUCUUAAAAGUUAAAACUAAUAAAAUUUCAUCUCCAGCUACAAGAUAAAACAAAGUUAAAACUGUUAUUUCUGACAAAAAGAUAAUAUUAUGUUUAAUAAGUAAACCCUAUAUCUAACUGAAAGAAACGGGAUUUAUACUUGAUUUUUUAACUCAGGGAUAAGAUAAAUAAAAAUUAGGGAUAAUUGCACUUUUGAUCCCUCAGGUAUUAGUAAAUUCUGAUUUUUGUCCUCAUGUUGUGCUAUUUCACUAAGCAUAUAUGGCCUUGAAUUAAUUUAACUGUGAGCUUUUGUUCCCUUAACAUUGGAAAUAUGUAUAUUUAAAUCAUCUUUAAAACUCUAUCAGCCUGAAUGUAAAAUAAUGUUACAAAAUUCAAUAUAUAACACACGUGCAAUAAUAUGGUUUAACUGUCAAUAAAUUUAUUAAAUUUGUGAAGACACAUGCUGAAGGAUAAAAGAUGCAUAUUUCAAUUAGUGAAGGUUAAAUGUGCUCAAACAGAGUUGCUAGGACCAUAAUGUGAUUUGUUUUAAUAUUUCAGGGACUAAAAUAUACUAAUAUCCCUAAAGAUUAAGAUAUUGAUAUAGCAACCCCUUGUGGAAACAUGGGAUAGAGGUACAAGAAAAGCAAAUCAAAUAGCUAAUUCUUGUGACUGGGAUCAUGUAAGGAACUUGUUGUUUUGUUGGGAAGGAAAUCCUUGACAACUGAUCAGAAAAAUUGUCUUGAUAUACAUGGGUAGAAAUAAGAAGAAACUUCAACGGUUGUACCAGUACUGGCUGCAACAUUUUGCUAUGGAUCACAAGCAUCAUGUGUCUGGUCUCAGAAGGAAGGGGAAGAAUCUGCAUAUGGAUGAUACAAGAGCAACUUUUAUGAUUAUUAUGUUGCAACAAUCUUUGUAUUUUCAGUAAGAGAAAGAGCCAGACAAUUUUCCUGGAGAUUUACUCAACUGAGGUUGGCUGUAGUUAGCCGGGAAGAUAUAAUUCCAGAAUUAAGAUAGAGAUUAAUCAGUUGACUAAGUAGGCAACAAGUUAAAAGUAUAGGUAGGUGGCAGCUGCGAAUCCUUGCCAGGAACCAACAUCAAAUUUAAAGAUUCCAUUGAUGUCAAAUGAGAACAAACCUAGGGAAGACUACUGCAAAUAUGUUUGCUGGCUUGGGUAGACAUCAAAGAAGAGAGGUUGACUUGCACAGAAGUAAGAAGAUGGGUGCAGAGAAUGUGGAGGAAUCGCUUCUGGAAAAAAGAGAUAAUCACUAGCUAUUACUUCAAAGUCGAAGCUUAAAGAAUUUAUCAUGGCUGAUAUGUAUCAGAAUAAUCAUCAAGUGUCUCUAUGCUGGUGGUUGCGGACUUGCACAAUUCACCAGUAAGAUGAACACCCAAAACAUGUUGCAACACCCAAGCAUGUUUAGAUAAGGUUUGUUAGACUUCACAAUUCACCUUUGACCAUAAAACAUGUUUUAGAGUAAUUGGUGAUAGAUGCUGGGGAUUUCUGGAGAUUGGUGCCAUUACAAGACUUGGAGUGCACCCUUUUUUUCUCAAUACUUAAUAGUGCACCUUUAGUGGGAUUGUAUUUGUGUGUGGUGGUCUCUAAGUCUAUCCAUCAGAUUGAAGCUGAGAGAGUAAGAUUUACUAUUCCAACCAUAGUGGUGGAGAUACCUUUUUAAAAAAAGAAGCUUUUGUAAUCCUAGUUGAGGCUAGUGGAAAAGGUGGAUCUGAAUCAUGUAGUAGAGACUUUUUAUUGAAUUAAUUAAUCCCUUCAAGAUUGAGGAUCAAUUGUAGCAAAGAGUUGGUAUAAAGAAUUUCAAAGGUCAAAGUCCCUGCCCAAGAUGUCACGACUUAUGUCUAAAAAUGCCAUAUUUCAAAAUUUAAAUUGCAGAAUAGUGUCACGACCCGAUUUCUCAAGUCAUGAUGGCACCUACUAUAACCCACCAACAGGUAAGCCAACCCGUAACCCGGAACAAGUAAUGGGUCUGAGGGUAGAAACUAAACAAGAGUAGGCAAAUAAUAAUAUAAACAGGCAAAAGCAAACCAAAACAUAUAUACAAAUAAAGAUCCCUCCCAGAACCUGGAAGUCACUAGUACAGAGCUACUAACAAAAUGAGUACAAGUCCCAAAAGUGGACAACAGAGACUGGACUGUCUCGAAAGGUAAAAGACAAGUCUAUAUAUACAGAUGGAGACUGAAAUAGUACAAAACGUCGUGUGCUCACUCCCGUCUCCGGAUCAGUCUGCUCCAAGCUCGAUCAACGCUGGCUACUAGUGCCNNNNNNNNNNNNNNNNNNNNNNNNNNNNNNNNNNNNNNNNNNNNNNNNNNNNNNNNNNNNNNNNNNNNNNNNNNNNNNNNNNNNNNNNNNNNNNNNNNNNNNNNNNNNNNNNNNNNNNNNNNNNNNNNNNNNNNNNNNNNNNNNNNNNNNNNNNNNNNNNNNNNNNNNNNNNNNNNNNNNNNNNNNNNNNNNNNNNNNNNNNNNNNNNNNNNNNNNNNNNNNNNNNNNNNNNNNNNNNNNNNNNNNNNNNNNNNNNNNNNNNNNNNNNNNNNNNNNNNNNNNNNNNNNNNNNNNNNNNNNNNNNNNNNNNNNNNNNNNNNNNNNNNNNNNNNNNNNNNNNNNNNNNNNNNNNNNNNNNNNNNNNNNNNNNNNNNNNNNNNNNNNNNNNNNNNNNNNNNNNNNNNNNNNNNNNNNNNNNNNNNNNNNNNNNNNNNNNNNNNNNNNNNNNNNNNNNNNNNNNNNNNNNNNNNNNNNNNNNNNNNNNNNNNNNNNNNNNNNNNNNNNNNNNNNNNNNNNNNNNNNNNNNNNNNNNNNNNNNNNNNNNNNNNNNNNNNNNNNNNNNNNNNNNNNNNNNNNNNNNNNNNNNNNNNNNNNNNNNNNNNNNNNNNNNNNNNNNNNNNNNNNNNNNNNNNNNNNNNNNNNNNNNNNNNNNNNNNNNNNNNNNNNNNNNNNNNNNNNNNNNNNNNNNNNNNNNNNNNNNNNNNNNNNNNNNNNNNNNNNNNNNNNNNNNNNNNNNNNNNNNNNNNNNNNNNNNNNNNNNNNNNNNNNNNAUCGCCUAACUAAGGCCCAAACUAUCAGACUCAAGUCUGCUACACCAGUCUACAGGGAUCUAAGCCGGCCGAGCGACGUUGGGGUAAAACUAAGGCCUAUCGGAUUCGAAUCAUGUAUUUCUAAGGCCUAUCAGAUUUAAACUUAAACUAAGGCCCAAAUGCUUCAAAUAUACAAGAAUUAAGCAUGCAAGCACCCGACAUAGCGAGGAGGGUCCGUUAAUAACACAAAGCAUGCUCACAGUUACCCGAUAAUUCNNNNNNNNNNNNNNNNNNNNNNNNNNNNNNNNNNNNNNNNNNNNNNNNNNNNNNNNNNNNNNNNNNNNNNNNNNNNNNNNNNNNNNNNNNNNNNNNNNNNNNNNNNNNNNNNNNNNNNNNNNNNNNNNNNNNNNNNNNNNNNNNNNNNNNNNNNNNNNNNNNNNNNNNNNNNNNNNNNNNNNNNNNNNNNNNNNNNNNNNNNNNNNNNNNNNNNNNNNNNNNNNNNNNNNNNNNNNNNNNNNNNNNNNNNNNNNNNNNNNNNNNNNNNNNNNCUCGAAACGCUGCCCCGCUAUCAAAAAUAGAGUCACAACGUUAAUACGGUCGUUUAGACACCAAAAUCACAACAAACGGAGACGGGUCAAUUUUGGAGUCAAAACGGGAAUCGUGGGACCCGCGCUGGAAAUUCCGGAAUUAACCCCAAAAGUGGGUCCUAACCAGUUUCCCCCAGCUCAUAUCCCAAAAUGGGACACAAUUCGGGGCUCGGGAACAACACACUAUCAACAUGCAACCAAAACCCAAAUUACACUAAAACGGAACAACAAUAGCAGCAGCUAUUUACAAGAAAAUAUCAGAAACGAGGGUCCAGAUGCUGAAACCAAUCACACCAUGAUGAUCCUCACGAAAAACCCCAUAAUCUAAGCUUUUGAAUCACCAUAUUCGCACCUAAAAUGACCACGAAAUCACCUUCUAAAUUUUUCCAAAAAUUGAGCUCGAAAUGAGCUAAGACAGCAGCUAAAACACAACUUUUUACCUCCAACAAAAAGUUAAAUACGAAAUCUAACCACGCCAACACAUUCUCCUU